rnacentral:lncRNA from 1 species
CAGUUGUAAGCACACCUUCACCAGUGCUUGGUUGAAAAAAUGCGAUGAUCUUUUUGGCGUUCCAUGGUCGACAUUCAUUGCCGAUGACAACCUCUUCAUCGACGGUGUGCUGCAUCUGAGAGCUGAUUUGGUGGCGGUCCAGCAGACGGAUCAGUUACAGGCCUGAUGAUGUCUCACUCACUUGGCAGAGUUAUUAAGUCGUUUGUUCGUCAUCAGCCGCUUCAAUGGGAUUCUGGCUGUAAUCUGAGUCUAGUUUCGUUAUUUUUGUUUAUGCUGCUGGAAACACUUUGGCGCCUGAAGAUGAAGCAUCUAAGGAAUUGGUGGAGGCUCGUGGCUUCUUAGAAUGAAAUUUUGGAAACCGGGGCGGUAGACCCUUUGAUCACCCUUUACUUGUUUUCAAGAUUAAUCGUAGUCGUCAAGUUUUUGUUAAGCAAAUACCGUCUUGUUUCAUGCCGUAACCUGAAUGGUAGGGCGAUUCCUUAUUACAUGUGUUCCCCCAAAGUUGCGGGCAUUACUGGGUGUCUGAACAUGUUGUGUUCCAUUAUCUGGACUUACUCAAGGUUAGGGACCUCAAGGUUACCCGACUGCUUGUAUCAAGUCGGGGUUCACCUGAUCCUUGGAUCCGAAUGCUUUCAGCUAAAAUUUUGCAAAAGAGGAACAUUUAUGAGAGUUUCUCAAGAUAUCCUCUGAUCAAUGUCUCGGAGCCCUUCCCUCGUCAAGAUAUCGAAAUGAAUUGUUCUUCUGUAACUCCGACAGCUAGUGAUCUUCGGUGUUUUGUCGCCUUUGUUCAAUCUCCACAAAAAGUGAAAAGAAAAAACACCUAGCUAGAGUUGAAGACUCUUGCCGCCCUCUUUCAAGCCUGCGACCUGAGGUGCCAUGGUUCGGCGUCGGCCGUAGGGUGAUGCUUUCGUCUUCGAAUGAUUUCCUUACUCUUCCGAGGCAGCUGCUUUCCAUCUCUUUUACAUCCAGUGUGAUGAUGAUCUCAUGGAUAGAGCAUACGCCCAUCUAAGAUGAACACAACAGGAAAAGUACAGCGUUUACAAUGGCAAUUUUUGUUGCUAAAAAGUCAUCCAAGGUGUUUACAAAGUUUGACAAACUGGAGACGAAACUAACGAACUACAUCAAAUGAUCUCCUUGACACGGGACACAGUACUAUAGAAAUGCUCAGGAAGCAAGACACUUGUCCCUAGAGAUCUAUGAGCUUCACUCCUUCGACGUUGCCGAAACAUGUGUCGAAGGGGAGAAAAUGGUACACAUCAUCAAUACCAAAAUCCAUCGCAACAUGAUCACGGUUCUUUUGCUUUGCCAACCUUGAUUGGGCUCGGCGUAGCCCUUCGCUAUGUGGCUUUGUCAAGCUUGGACCCUGUGCUCAAUGGACUGAUCCCGAUCUACGGCUUUCUUCGUCGGCGAUGAUUGCUACUCUAGUGCACUGCUUCUAUGAGGCUUUAACACGAUGACUUUUCGACUAUCUACCACAACAAGGUUUGUUCGGCCCCGACGAGGGAGGGGCGAUGACGGCAGCACGCUUUCAACUCGCUCCAGUGCUUGUCGUCGCUAGGCGGUCACGAACUUCGCUGUAAUUUUUAUUACUUCUGAUGUUCUUUAUACUGUCAUGAUUGAAGGUAAAUAGAUUGGAAGUUUCUCUAAAAAAAGGACUUGACCAUAUCCUGGAUGGGCUGAUCCCAAUCUGUCUCCAUCCCUGGUGACAUCGAAGGAGACCACAAGAUCCUCCAAUCUUCCACAUAAGCAUAUCCUAGAUCAUCUAUCUUCCAACAAAUGUGAGUGGCUGACCAUGGACGACAUUAGUUGGCCACCUCUAUACAACUCCUCCCGAGCCUCCCAAGGGUGUUGGAGCACUCACAGAUACAGUAAAGACAAAGUCGGAGGGGGGAGGGGGGGAUUCCAAGGCUACAUUGUCGGCGCCUCCUAGNNNNNNNNNNNNNNNNNNNNNNNNNNNNNNNNNNNNNNNNNNNNNNNNNNNNNNNNNNNNNNNNNNNNNNNNNNNNNNNNNNNNNNNNNNNNNNNNNNNNNNNNNNNNNNNNNNNNNNNNNNNNNNNNNNNNNNNNNNNNNNNNNNNNNNNNNNNNNNNNNNNNNNNNNNNNNNNNNNNNNNNNNNNNNNNNNNNNNNNNNNNNNNNNNNNNNNNNNNNNNNNNNNNNNNNNNNNNNNNNNNNNNNNNNNNNNNNNNNNNNNNNNNNNNNNNNNNNNNNAAAGGUUCCCCUCCCAUCGUUGGAGCCAGACAAAUGGGAGGGGAACCCACAAGCUCGUGGACCUUUGAAGGUUCAAGGGCUAUCACCUCCAUCUUCAAGAGAAAGAAGUGUUGUUAGUUGGGCCAUGUGUGGUACACGUAGCACUAGAUCUUCUCCAAAAGCCAUAAAAACAAUAUGUUUUCAGCGUGUAUUUGUCUAUGUUCCUUAUUUUUUGCGGGUGAAAUCUAUGUUCCUUUUGUAGAAGUAGAAUAUAAAACAGAAUAAUUCCUUAAAAAAUGAAAAUUAAGCGAGUUAUAUCUUUAAGAGGAAAACAGCUCUAUUUAUUUGUUAUACACCCUUUGAUUUAUAAUAAGUGUCGUAGUUUUCAACUAAUCUUUAUUCAAAACUAGUUCAAAAAUGCGACACUUCUUUUUUUUGAUCGGAGCGAGUAACAAAUAUAGCAGCAUCCUCACGAUCAGGCUUUGCAUCAUCCCACAGGGAGCCGAAUGUGAUUUUAUGGUAAGUUGUAAGUAGACAUGGUCUUUUUGCAUUUUAAACCUGAGAGCGUGCCCGUAAUUUAACAUUUCCGACUUCCGAGGGUCCUGUUUGCAAAGUCUGAUACCUACCGCUGGCCUCACUUUCUCGUCUUCUCGGAGAAGCUUCGGCGGCUAGGUUACGGCCGGCCGCCGCCCGGCGUUUCGUCCCUCUCUCUCUCUCCCGCACGCGGCGGAGGGCAUGGACACCGGCGAAGAAUCAGCGACGGCGGCGGGGGCGGGGGCGGCAGUGGCGAUGGAGCUGGACUUCUCGCGCGGCGGCGUGGUGCCCAGCUUCGACUUCGCGUUCGAUUCGGCCACCUUCUCCGACAGGGUGCUGCGGAUAGAGAUCGUCGGCGGCGGCCCCGCGCCGGGAUCUUGCGGAGGAUCUUCUGCCAACCAGGAGCGCCGCCGCGAGGAGCAAGGUGCGUAUGUAGCUGCUAUUAACAGAUUAUUAAAAUGCUGUAACUAUUGGAUGUAGCUGAUGUCAACAUUUUUUUCUGUUGAAAUAAUGUAAGUCCAUGGUUGGAUUACCCCCAAAAUUGGAUGAAAAUAAACCCAAUUGUGAUUGACAUUGACCACUAUUCAGCUGGGAAAACUUGGAGAGGUGCUUGCCAGCUGAACCUGAGAAUUCUGCUAACAUGUUUGUUCUUUGUCGAUUUUAAACCUUCAGUCUUCACAUUACAGUUCUCGAUACAGUUUGUCACAAAGCAUCUGGAGAAGGCAUUAAUUUCCUGUAGUUAGUUUUUUCAAAAUUAUUUGUCUGUGGGAAAAUUUAGAGAUCUCGAAUUGAACUUGUUUUGAGUGAGUUACCAUGGGGCAUGGACAUGUCAAAUAAUUCAAAAGGGAAAUUAUUGUGUGUUCACUAGUCAGUACUUACGACAAUAGAUCUGCCAAUUUUUAUUCUUAAUGCAGCAACAGAACAAAUAGGUAUGGAAUACCAUAUUGUUAUCAAGUCGGCUCUUGAUGUAACAGCUAGCUGUAUCUGAAGUGAAGAAGAAACUGCUUCAUAACCUUCAAUCCUUCAAUUCUAAGUCAACAUUAGUCUGCAUUUUCUGUCCAUCUCCGCUUUUCGUAGUGUUGAAACAUUGGUUAUCAUUAGCUUGCGUGGUAAAAACAAAAAACUUCAUACGGAUGCAGGUAUAGUUUUUGCACAAUCUGCUAAUCAAAGGUAGCCUUUGGUUGCCUGUUGUCUCAAUACACGCUAUAUAUUGGUUACAGGCUGGUGCUUGCAGAAAAUACAGAGAUAACCACAAGUUCUUACUUAACACCUUGUUUCUAUUUUAGCUACUUGAACUUGCUUGUGCUACUAGAUGCAUGUGCAGUAUGAACUGCUCAUUAGAUAGCAGUUAGUCAGUUACAUCUAUGAGAGCUACAAGCAUGGUCAGGUUGUUGGAUGACCAUUUUAUCCUAUUUCUGAAUAUUGAUUACAUGAAUCUACACCUGUAGAAAAAUACAGUGUUCCGUGUUUUUUAACAGAAUAAUAUAUUACCCGAUUUGUUCUUUAUUUCUUUUAUCUAAUACUUUGCAGGUGAGAAAGAACAGAGUGUUGACUCUUCAUCGAUGAUGGUGGGUACACCAGUUUUACGAGAAAAAAACAUUCAUAUCAAUUCAGCGAUUCUUGCUUCAAGAAGUCCUUUCUUUCUAAAGGUAAUUUCGAGAACCUGGUUGUGAACUGCAUUUGUUCUAGUCAGUGGAAGUUUCUAAUAAGCUUCAUCCUUCUUAGUUUUUCUCAAAUGGCAUGAAAGAAUCUGAUCAGACGAAUCCAACAAUUAGGAUUACUGAUUCAGGUAAGGUGAUAGCUAAAGUGUAACAUUCUUCCUCUUAUAAUUUAUUCUAGUUUGCUGUCGUGACUGUGUUACUGUUUUCUAUAAUUUUGAAAGAAAAACAUGAAUAUUUAUGGUAACCGAAGGAUUAUGCUUCAUAGAUAGUUUUUGCCAUUUCUUUGUCUCUUCUGUGAUGAAGAAAAAGUCAGUCUCCCAUGGAGCUUUUCUCGAUAUUGAAAGUCAACUAUCAACCUACAUAAUCAUUUAAGAUACAUAAGUGUGUCCUUUUUUCUGUUUACUUCGGUUAACUGUUUCUGUAAUCCUUAUGCAUUAUGUUUUCAUUCUACUUGAAACAGAGGAAAAUGCUUUUAUGGAGCUCUUAAGCUAUAUGUACAGUGGAAAGUUGACUACAGCUGAGCCCACUCGUCUGCUCGACAUCUUGAUGGCUGCAGACAAGUUCGAGGUUCUUUCUUGCAUGAGGCAUUGCAGUCAGCUGCUCAUAAGCUUGCCUAUGACCACAGAAUCUGCACUGCUCUACAUAGACCAUCCUUGUUCUGUUUCAAUGGUCAAUGAAGUUCGGCCUUUGAUAGAUGCAUCCAAGGAAUUCCUUGCCAACAAGUACAAGGAUUUUUAUGAGUUAGUGAUCCCCAUUUGAUGAAGCCAUGUUUUAUUUUCUUUUCUGAGAAAACUACAGAUAUUGAUGUCACAAAAUCAUGUAUUCAGUGUACUCAUGAUAUUGUUGGUCUCAUUUCAGGUUUAAAAGUGAGCUGAUGAACAUUUCUCUUGCUGGGAUAGAAGCCAUAUUUUCAAGUACUGACAUACAAGUGGAAACUGAAGAUGACGUAUAUUACUUCAUGCUUGACUGGGCCCGUGCACGAUACGUAGAAUUGGAGGAAAGACGUAAGAUCUUGAGUUCUCGUUUACUUCCUCUGGUACGCUUCAGUCAUAUGACGUGUAUGACACUUCAGGAGAUAUUAGCAAGCACUGAUAAUGAUAUAGAUCGCGAGCAAGUAACUCAUCGUAUUGCUGAGGCACUUCUACCCAAGGCUUACCCGAAGCAGUUGGAAGGUGCUCUUGCAGCAGAGGUAACAACUUGUUCGCGAUUUGCUGAGCGAGCAUACGAGUACAAACCUGUGAAAUUGGUUGCCUUUGAUCAACCCUGCCCACAGAUUAUAGUUUACUUGGAUCUAACACGCGAUGAGUGCUCCCAACUCUUCCCGUCUGGGCGUAUAUGCCCGCACCCAUUCCGGCUUCUAGGAUGGGGCUUUUAUCUGAUGGCAACCUGUGAAAUGGAUGAGCAGAGUAAGUUGUGCAGCUUUGGCCUCUGGUUAGGAGUCGCCAAAAAUAUGAAGGGAUCAUCAUGUUUCAUGGUAGAUUACGAGUUUGCCGCAAGGAAAAGAUCGUCAGGAAAGUUUGUGCGCAAAUUGGAGGGUAAGAUCUCCACCACUGACGAGACACAUGGAUGCAGUGAUCUAUUUGGCAUUCCAUGGUCGACGUUCAUUGCCAACGACAACCUCUUCAUCAACGGCGUGCUGCAUCUGAGAGCUGAUUUGAGGGUGUUGCUGGGGCAGCCAAAACUACAAGCUUGAUGAUAUCUCACUCAGCAGCAAAGUCAGGUCCAUCGGUCCAAUGGGAUUUCAGUUGUUGGCUUGGAAUGUUGGCAGCGUGGAGUUCUUUUUAGUCGCUCAUCCUUAUGUGGUCUCAUUUCAUUAUUUUGGUGUCUGUGCUGGAAAACUUGGCUUGCCUGAAUGAUGUAAGGAGGCUAGCUCUUACCUGCAAUGAGAGACUUGAAAACUGUGGCGAUAUCUAGCUUUUUUUCUUUGUAAAACGUGUGUGUUCAUCAUCGUUCUGGAUUCACCGUAGUCUUUUGCUCCACAUGCGUGGGUGUUCACCCCUUUUUCUGUUCUGGACUAGAUUCGUCAUCAUCAGCUCAGUUUCGACAGCGAAGCUGCCAAUGUGAGAUUGUGCACUGAUGUUUCAGUGUUAUGAAAGAAGUUUUGCCUGAUUCAAACUCACAAGCAAUUGUUUGGAAGUGGUCGUGAUAAUGAUCGUUCACUCGGCAGAUGGUCUGAAGAUUGGGUUUCUGCAUCCAGAAUGUGCAACUACGACCCUCUGAAGCAACUUUGCCGAGUGUCGUCGUAUCAGGAUUGCAUUCUGCAACUUAUCAUCGUACUCCAGGUUUGGGAAGUGCAACUCAAGUCGGAAGCGACUUUGGCGAGUGAGAUAGCAUGCUAUACUUUAGAUUUUCCACAGUUUUUUUUUUUUUGAGAUGCAGGGCACCUAGUUUGUUACGCGCAACUCUACGUGGCAGCGCGCUGUAUAGCGGAUCCGUAGUAGAGGGGAGCAGACUGACUUGUGGUGCCCACCCCAUGUCAGUAUUUCGUCCACGUGGCAUCCACGUAAGCCCUGACAUAUGUGCUUAAAAUGUCGGGUUUUGUGUCAAACGAGGAAAGUAAGAGAUUCGUGUUUUAUAUUCUUGACUGAUUGCAAUUGUACAGUAUGAAGCAUGGUGGUAUCAUAUCACGUAACACAAUGAAAUCAAAUGUUGAGGGGUUGGCUAUGGCUAUAGAGGAAAUUCAAAAAAAAAAAGUAAAACUGUUCACCUGCUUUCAACAAGUAAAUCAGAUUCUUUGGUGGGCCUUGGCCCUGGCUGGCUGGCCAUCCCUUGCCUCCAUCCAUGUAUGGUGGGGCAGAUCCUAUUUAGCGCCUAGGUCGGGUAAUAGCGACGUAACACGUAUCGGUACCCCCGACACGAGCGUGCUGCUUCAAGUGGAGAACAAAUUCAUGAACAUUUUCUGAAAUUUAGAAUAUUUUUUCAAUUUCAUGAACUUUUUCAAAAUCCGAAACAUUUUUGGUAUUCAUGAAAAAAUUAAAUCUGGAAACAAAUUCAUUUUUUUAAUUUAGAAUAUUUUUUCAGUUUCAUGAACUUUUAAAAAUCCGGGAACAUUUUUAAUCUGGAAACAAAUUCAUGAACAUCUUUUGAAAUUUAGAUUUUUUUUCAAUUUCAUGAACAUUUUAAAGUCCGAGAACAUUUUUUCAAAUUCCAUGAACAUUUCCAAAUUCGAUAUCUUUUUCUGAAAUUUUGAAUCUUUUUUCAAAUCCCAAACAUUUUUUGAACUUGGGAUUUUGUAUAUUUUAUCAAAGUUUAAAAAGCAAAAAAAGGGUGGAAAACACACAUGGGUGUGCCCAAAGCACAUGCGGGGGGAGGAGGAGGGUGCAUUUGCUCAUUGCGCGCCACUAUGGGGAAUAGAAGGUCUCAUAUGUGGUGCCAUGUUAGAGUAUCUCCAAUAAUUACCCAUAAAGGCCAACAUGGGUUAGUCUCCAUUUUCUCAGCCAAAAAAAAUGUCCCCAUCUCCAACACUAGCCCCCGGGUCUCACCCUGAUUUUUUAUGCCUUACGGGAUCUUUGAUCUGCCAGUCGAUGGUUUAUCCUUUUCUCUUUCUUAUUCUCUCUUUUCCUUUCUCUACCCUGCCCAUUGAGCUCUUGCCACACACUGUGAUUGGCUGCUCAGGUGGAGGCUCGAGAAGAUGGAAGGAAGGCGGUGAAGGCGGCUGACGACGUUAGAGGGGACCGCAGAGGCGCUAUGUGGAGGUGGCCAAGUGAGGUGUGUUGGGGAACGUAGCAGAAAUUCAAAAUUUUCUACGCAUCACCAAGAUCAAUCUAUGGAGUAAUCUAGUAACGAGGGGAAGGGGAGUGCAUCUACAUACCAUUGUAGAUCGCGAUGCAGAAGCGUUGCAAGAACGCGGAUGAAGGAGUCGUACUCGUAGCGAUUCAGAUCGCGGUUGAUUCCGAUCUAAGCACCGAAGAACGGUGCCUCCGCGUUCAACACACGUGCAGCCCGGUGACGUCUCCCACGCCUUGAUCCAGCAAGGUGAGAGGGAGAGGUUGGGGAAGACUCCAUCCAGCAGCAGCACGACGGCGUGGUGGUGAUGGAGGAGCGUGGCAAUCCCGCAGGGCUUCGCCAAGCACCGCGGAAGAGGAGGAGGAGGGAGAGGGGUAGGGCUGCGCCGAAAGAGAGACGUUCUCAUGUCUUGGGCAGCCCCAAACCUCAACUAUAUAUAGGGGGGAAGGGGCUGCGCCCCCUCUAGGGUUUCCACCCCAAGGGCUGGCGGCCAGCCCUAGAUCCCAUCUAGGGGGGCGGCCAAGGGGAGGAGAGGGGGGGCGCCACUAGGGUGGGCCUUAAGGCCCAUCUGGACCUAGGGUNNNNNNNNNNNNNNNNNNNNNNNNNNNNNNNNNNNNNNNNNNNNNNNNNNNNNNNNNNNNNNNNNNNNNNNNNNNNNNNNNNNNNNNNNGGGGGGGGGGCGCACCAGCCCACCUGGGGCUGGUCCCCUCCCACACUUGGCCCACGCAGCCUUCUGGGGCUGGUGGCCCCACUUGGUGGACCCCCGGGACCCUCCCGGUGGUCCCGGUACAUUACCGAUAACACCCGAAACUUUUUCGGUGACCAAAACAGGACUUCCCAUAUAUAAAUCUUUACCUCCGGACCAUUCUGGAACUCCUCGUGAAGUCCGGGAUCUCAUCCGGGACUCCGAACAACAUUCGGUAACCACGUACAUACUUUCCCUAUAACCCUAGCGUCAUCGAACCUUAAGUGUGUAGACCCUACGGGUUCGGGAAUCAUGCAGACAUGACCGAGACGUUCUCCGGUCAAUAACCAACAGCGGGAUCUGGAUACCCAUGUUGGCUCCCACAUGUUCCACGAUGAUCUCAUCGGAUGAACCACGAUGUCGGGGAUUCAAUCAAUCCCGUAUUCAAUUCCCUUUGUCUAUUGAUAUGUUACUUGCCCGAGAUUCGAUCGUCGGUAUCCCUAUACCUUGUUCAAUCUUGUUACCGGCAAGUCUCUUUAGUCGUUCCGUAACUCACAUCAUCCCGUGAUCAACUCCUUGGUCACAUUGUGCACAUUAUGAUGAUGUCCUACCGAGUGGGCCCAGAGAUACCUCUCCGUUUACACGGAGUGACAAAUCCCAGUCUCGAUUCGUGCCAACCCAACAGACACUUUCGGAGAUACCUGUAGUGCACCUUUAUAGCCACCCAGUUAUGUUGUGACGUUUGGUACACCCAAAGCAUUCCUACGGUAUCCGGGAGUUGCACAAUCUCAUGGUCUAAGGAAAUGAUACUUGACAUUAGAAAAGCUCUUAGCAAACGAACUACACAAUCUUGUGCUAGGCUUAGGAUUGGGUCUUGUCCAUCACAUCAUUCUCCUAAUGAUGUGAUCCUGUUAUCAACGACAUCCAAUGUCCAUGGUCAGGAAACCGUAACCAUCUAUUGAUCAACGAGCUAGUCAACUAGAGGCUUACUAGGGACAUGGUGUUGUCUAUGUAUCCACACAUGUAUCUGAGUUUCCUAUCAAUACAAUUCUAGCAUGGAUAAUAAACGAUUAUCAUGAACAAGGAAAUAUAAUAAUAACCAAUUUAUUAUUGCCUCUAGGGCAUAUUUCCAACAGUCUCCCACUUGCACUAGAGUCAAUAAUCUAGUUCACAUCACCAUGUGAUUAACACUCACAGGUCACAUCACCAUGCGACCAACACCCAAGAGUUUACUAGAGUCAACAAUCUAGUUCACAUCUCUAUGUGAUUAACACUCAAUGAGUUCUGGUUUGAUCAUGUUAUGCUAGUGAGAGAGGUUAUUAGUCAACAGGUCUGAACCUUUCAGAUCCGUGUGUGCUUUACGAAUAUCUAUGUCAUCUUGUGGAUGCUAUCACGCGCUAUUUGGAGCCAUUUCAAAUAAUUGCUCUACUAUACGAAUCCGGUCUACUACUCAGAGUCAUCCGGAUUAGUGUCAAAGUUCGCAUCGACGUAACCCUUUACGACGAACUCCUUUUCACCUCCAUAAUCGAGAAAAAUUCCUUAGUCCACUAGAUACUAAGGAUAAGUUCGACCGCUGUCAUGUGAUCCAUUCCCGGAUCACUAUUGUACCCCUUGACCAACUCAUGGCAAGGCACACUACAUGUGCGGUACACAGCAUAGCAUACUGUAGAGCCUACGUCUAAAGCAUAGGGGACGACCUUCGUCCUUUCUCUCUCUUCUGCUGUGGUCAGGUCUUGAGUCUUACUCAAUACUCACACCUUGUAACACAGCCAAGAACUCCUUCUUUGCUGAUCUAUUUUUGAACUCUUUCAAAAUCAUGUCAAGGUGUGCGUUCUUUGAAAGUAUCAUCGGGCGUCUUGAUCUAUCUCUAUAGAUCUUGAUGCCCAAUAUGUAAGCAGCUUUUAUCCAGGUCUUCCUUUGAAAAACUCCUUUCAAACAACCCUUUAUGCUUUCCAUAAAUUUUACAUCAUUUCGGAUCAACAAUAUGUCAUUCACAUAUACUUAUCAGAAAUGUUGCAGCGCUCCCACUCACUUUAUUGUAAAUACAAGUUUCUAACAAACUUUGUAUAAACCCAAAAACUUUGAUCACUCCAUCAAAGCGUAUAUUCUGACUCCGAGAUGCUUGCUCUAGUCCAUGGAAGGAUCGCUGGAGCUAGCAUACCUUUUAGCAUCCUUAGGAUCGACAAAACCUUUCUGAUUGUAUCACAUACAACCUUUCCUUACGAAAACUGGUAAGGAAACUUGUUUUGACAUCCAUCUGCCAGAUUUCACAAAUGCAGCUAAUGCUAACAUGAUUCCGACGGACUUAAGCAUCGCUACGGAUGAGAAAAUCUCAUCGUAGUCAACUCCUUGAACUUGUGGAAAUACUCUUUGCCACAAGUCGAGCUUCAUAGACGGUAACAUUACCGUCCACGUCCGUCUUCUUCUCAAAGAUCCAUUUAUCACGGAUUUCAUGGCUUCUAACCAUUUGUCGGAAUAUGGGCCCACCAUCGCUUCUCCAUAGCUCGUAGGUUCAGUAUUGUCCAACAACAUGAUAUCUCAGACAGGAUCACGUACCACUCUGAAGUAGCACGCAUCCUCGUCGUCCUACGAGGUUUGGUGGUGACUUGAUCCGAAGUUUCAUGAUCACUAUCAUAAGCUUCCACUUCAAUUGGUGUAGGUGCCACAGGAACAACUUCCUGUGCCCUGCUACACACUAGUUGAAGUGACGGUUCAAUAACCUUAUCAAGUCUCCACCAUCCUCCCACUCAAUUCUUUCGAGAGAAACUUUUCCUCGAGAAAGGACCUGUCUCUAGAAGCAAUUACUUUUGCUUCCAGAUCUGAAAUAGGAGGUAUACCCAACUGUUUUGGGUUUUCUAUGAAGAUGCAUUUAUCCGCUUUGGGUUCGAGCUUAUUAGCCUGAAGCUUUUUCACAUAAGCAUCGCAGCCCCAAGCUUUUAAGAAACGACAACUCAGGUUUCUCUAAACGGUGUCGUCUCAACGGAGUUGCGUGGUGCCCCUUUAAAGUGAAUGCGGUUGUCUCUAAUGCCUAACCCAUAAACGAUAGUAGUAAUUCGAUAAGAGACAUCAUGGUAUGCACCAUAUCCAAUAGGGUGCAGUUAUGAUGUUCGGACACACCAUCACACUAUGGUGUUCCAGGCGGUAUUAAUUGUGAAACACUUUCCACAAUGUCUUAAUUGUGUGCCAAACUCGUAACUCAGAUACUCAUCUCUAUGAUCAUAUCACAGACAUUUUAUCCUCUUGUCACGACGAUCUUCAACUUCACUCUGAAAUUACUUGAACCUUUCAAUAAUUCAGACUUGUGUUUCAUCAAGUAAAUACACUCAGCAUCUACUCAAAUCAUCUGUGAAGUAAGAACAUAACGAUAUCCACUGCAUGCCUCAACACUCAUUGGACUGUAUACAUCAAAAUGUAUUACUUCCAACAAGUUGCUCUCUUGUUCCAUCUUACUGAAAACGAGGCCUUUCAGUCAUCUUGCCCAUGUGGUAUGAUUUGCAUGUCUCGAGUGAUUCAAAAUCAAGUGAGUCCAAACGAUCCAUCUGCAUGGAGUUUCUUCAUGCAUAUAUACCAAUAGACAUGGUUCGCAUGUCUCAAUCUUUUCAAAAACGAGUGAGUCCAAAGAUCCAUCUACAUGGAGCUUCUUCAUGCGUUUUAUCCCAAUAUGACUCAAAUAGCAGUGCCACAAGUAUGUGGUACUAUCAUUACUUUUGGCAUGAACAUGUGUAUCACUACGAUCGAGAUUCAUUUUAGGUGCAAGACCAUUGAAGGUAUUAUUCAAAUAAACAGAGUAACCAUUAUUCUCCUUAAAUGAAUAACCGUAUUGCGAUAAACAUAAUCCAAUCAUGCUCAACGCAAACACCAAAUCUCGAUAGUAGAGGGAGCAUGCGAUGCUUGAUCACAUCAACCUUGGAAACACUUCCAACAUACAUCGUCAUCUCACCUUUAGCUAGUCUCCAUUUAUUCCGCAGCUUUUAUUUCGAGUUACUAACACUUAGCAACCGAACCGGUAUCUAAUACCCUGGUGCUGCUAGGAGUACUAGUAAAGUACACAUUCAUACAAUGUAUAUCCAAUAUACUUCUGUCGACCUUGCCUGCCUUCUCAUCUACCAAGUAUCUAGGGUAGUCCUGCUUCAGUGACCGUUCCCCUCAUUACAGAAGCACUUAGUCUCGGGUUUGGGUUCAACCUUGGGAUUCUUCACUAGAGCAGCAAGCGUUUUGCUGUUUCAUGAAGUAUCCCUUUUGCCCUUGCCCUUCUUAAACUAGUGGUUUUACUAACCAUCAACAAUUGAUGCUCCUCCUUGAUAUUUAUAGUUCAUCACGAAGCUCUAAUAGCUUGGUGGCAGUGAUUAUGGAGAACUAUCACUAUAUCAUCUGGAAGAUUAACUCCCACUCGAUUCAAGUGAUUGUAGUACUCAGACAAUCUGAGCACAUGCUCAACGAUUGAGAUUUUCUCCCUUAGUUUGCAGGCUUAAGAAACUUGUCAGAGGUCUCAUACCUCUUGAUGUGGGCACUAGUCUGAAAUCCCAAUUUCAGUCUUCAGAACAUCUCAUAUGUUCUACGACGUUUCAAAAACGUCUCUUGUGCCACAAUUCUAAACCGUUAGCAUUACGCAUUGAACUAUCACGUAGUCAUCAAAACGUGUAUGUCAGAUGUUUCGUAACAUCUACAGACGACGCUGAGGUUCAGCACACCGAGCGGUGCAUUAAGGACAUAAGCCUUCUGUGCAGCAAUGAGGACAAUCCUCAGUUUACGGACCCAGUCCGCAUAACUGCUACUACCAACUUUCAACUAAAUUUUCUCUAGGAACAUAUCUCAAACAGUAGAACUAAAGCGUAUGACAUAAUUUGCAAAGACCUUUUGACUAUGUUCAUGAUAAUGAAGUUCAUCUGAUUAUUGAACUCCCACUCAGAUAGACAUCCCUCUAGUCAUCUAAGUGAUACAUGAUCCGAGUCAAACUAGGCCGUGUCCGAUCAUCACGUGAGACGGACUAGUCAUUAUCGGUGAACAUCUCCAUGUUGAUCGUAUCUGCUAUACGACUCAUGUUCGACCUUUCGGUCUCUUGUGUUCCGAGGCCAUGUCUGUACAUGCUAGGCUCGUCAAGUCAACCUAAGUGUUUCGCAUGUGUUCCGAGGCCAUGUCUGUACAUGCUAGGCUCGUCAACACCCGUUGUAUUCGAACGUUAGAAUCUAUCACACCCGAUCAUCGCGUGGUGCUUCAAAACAACGAACCUUCGCAACGGUGCACAGUUAGGGGAACACGUCUCUUGAAAUUUUAGUGAGGGAUCAUCUUAUUUAUGCUACCGUCGUUCUAAGCAAAUAAGAUGUAAACAUGAUAAACAUCACAUGCAAUCAAAUAGUGACAUGAUAUGGCCAAUAUCAUUUUGCUCCUUUGAUCUCCAUCUUUGGGGCACCAUGAUCAUCUUUGUCACCAGCAUGACACCAUGAUCUCCAUCAUCAUGAUCUCCAUCAUUGUGUCUUCAUGAAGUUGUCACGCCAACGAUUACUUCUACUUCUAUGGCUAACGCGCUUAGCAAUAAAGUAAAGUAAUUUACAUGGCGUUAUUCAAUGACACGCAGGUCAUACAAAAAAUAAAGACAACUCCUAUGGCUCCUGCCGGUUGUCAUACUCAUCGACAUGCAAGUCGUGAUUCCUAUUACAAGAAUAUGAUCAAUCUCAUACAUCACAUAUAUCAUUCAUCACAUCUUCUGGCCAUAUCACAUCACAUAGCACAUGCUGCAAAAACAAGUUAGACGUCCUCUAAUUGUUGUUGCAAGUUUUUACGUGGCUUGGAUAGGUUUCUAGCAAGAACGUUUCUUACCUACGUAAGACCACAACGUGAUAUGCCAAUUUCUAUUUACCCUUCAUAAGGACCCUUUUCAUCGAAUCCGUUCCGACUAAAGUGGGAGAGACAGACACCCGCUAGCCACCUUAUGCAACUAGUGCAUGUCAGUCGGUGGAACCUGUCUCACGUAAGCGUACGUGUAAGGUCGGUCCGGGCCGCUUCAUCCCACAAUGCCGCCGAAACAAGAUAAGACUAGUAGCGGCAAGAAGAAUUGGCAACAUCUACGCCCACAACUACUUUGUGUUCUACUCGUGCAUAGAAACUACGCAUAGACCUAGCUCAUGAUGCCACUGUUGGGGAACGUAGCAGAAAUUCAAAAUUUUCUACGCAUCACCAAGAUCAAUCUAUGGAGUAAUCUAGCAACGAGGGGAAGGGGAGUGCAUCUACAUACCAUUGUAGAUCGCUAUGCGGAAGCGUUGCAAGAACGCGGAUGAAGGAGUCGUACUCGUAGCGAUUCAGAUCGCGGUUGAUUCCGAUCUAAGCACCGAAGAACGGUGCCUCCGUGUUCAACACACGUGCAGCCCGGUGACGUCUCCCACGCCUUGAUCCAGCAAGGUGAGAGGGAGAGGUUGGGGAAGACUCCAUCCAGCAGCAGCACGACGGCGUGGUGGUGAUGGAGGAGCGUGGCAAUCCCGCAGGGCUUCGCCAAGCACCGCGGAAGAGGAGGAGGGAGAGGGGUAGGGCUGCGCCGAAAGAGAGACGUUCUCAUGUCUUGGGCAGCCCCAAACCUCAACUAUAUAUAGGGGGGAAGGGGCUGCGCCCCCUCUAGGGUUUCCACCCCCAAGGGCUGGCGGCCAGCCCUAGAUCCCAUCUAGGGGGCGGCCAAGGGGAGGAGGGGGGGCGCCACUAGGGUGGGCCUUAAGGCCCAUCUGGACCUAGGGUUUGCCCCCUCCCACUCUCCCAUGCGCCUUGGGCCCUGGUGGGGGGGCGCACCAGCCCACCUGGGGCUGGUCCCCUCCCACACUUGGCCCACGCAGCCUUCUGGGGCUGGUGGCCCCACUUUUUCGGUGACCAAAACAGGACUUCCCAUAUAUAAAUCUUUACCUCCGGACCAUUCCGGAACUCCUCGUGACGUCCGCGAUCUCAUCCGGGACUCCGAACAACAUUCGGUAACCACGUACAUACUUUCCCUAUAACCCUAGCGUCAUCGAACCUUAAGUGUGUAGACCCUACGGGUUCGGGAAUCAUGAAGACAUGACCGAGACGUUCUCCGGUCAAUAACCAACAGCGGGAUCUGGAUACCCAUGUUGGCUCCCACAUGUUCCACGAUGAUCUCAUCGGAUGAACCACGAUGUUGGGGAUUCAAUCAAUCCCGUAUUCAAUUCCCUUUGUCUAUCAAUAUGUUACUUGCCCGAGAUUCGAUGGUCGGUAUCCCUAUACCUUGUUCAAUCUCGUUACCGGCAAGUCUCUUUACUCGUUCCGUAACUCACAUCAUCCCGUGAUCAACUCCUUGGUCACAUUGUGCACAUUAUGAUGAUGUCCUACCGAGUGGGCCCAGAGAUACCUCUCCGUUUACACGGAGUGACAAAUCCCAGUCUCGAUUCGUGCCAACCCAACAGACACUUUCGGAGAUACCUGUAGUGCACCUUUAUAGCCACCCAGUUACGCUGUGACGUUUGGUGCACCCAAAGCAUUCCUACGGUAUCCGGGAGUUGCACAAUCUCAUGGUCUAAGGAAAUGAUACUUGACAUUAGAAAAGCUCUGAGCAAACGAACUACACAAUCUUGUGCUAGGCUUAGGAUUGGGUCUUGUCCAUCACAUCAUUCUCCUAAUGAUGUGAUCCCGUUAUCAACGACAUCCAAUGUCCAUGGUCAGGAAACCGUAACCAUCUAUUGAUCAACGAGCUAGUCAACUAGAGGCUUACUAGGGACAUGGUGUUGUCUAUGUAUCCACACAUGUAUCUGAGUUUCCUAUCAAUACAAUUCUAGCAUGGAUAAUAAACGAUUAUCAUGAACAAGGAAAUAUAAUAAUAACCAAUUUAUUAUUGCCUCUAGGGCAUAUUUCCAACAAGGUGUGUGUGCAUGAAAAGAAAGAAGGCAGGAAGGCCGGUGGGUGGGGUUGCAUGCUGGUGGACGGCAACAGAGGACCAGAUGGUCAGUGACGAGAACAUAAAGUUGGCGCGCAUCAAACACUUCUACCACAUCACAACCUCUGAAAGGGGCUUGGGGUGAGGGAAGAGUCCCUACUUCUAUGGGGGUUUGAGAAAAUUUUGAGGGCCUAGCUAAAGUGGAGGCUUGGACAAGGACUUUUUUUUACGGGAAGGCAAUGACCCACUUGGGUUUUUCCCCUCUAGCCUCAAAAACUAUUUAGAGAUGUGAUAAAGAUUUUCUAAUCCAAAAGUUAUCACAAAGUACUUCCAUUGAUAAAAGUCCCUAGUUUGAGUAAUAACUAACUAAAAAUAAUUAUUUUAGGUAUAAUUGAUAUUAUACCCUUAGUUGUGUCCCACUUGGCAGGUUUGCCCUUAAUUUUGAAAAACUCGUGGUCCUGCCCAAGUACAUUUGGUCCCCUUAUGGUUUUGCCCUUCUAUCCCAAUUCCAUCCAGUCAAAGGCGUUUGACUGUUAGGGAGACAUUUUGUAGACCAUUUUGGACGAAAUUGGGACGGAACAUAAGAGGACCUAACGCACUUGGGCAGGAUCAUGGGUUUUAAAAAUUAGAGGCAAACCAGCCUAGUGAGACCGAACUAAGGGCACAAUAUCAAUUAUCCCAUUAAUUUAAGUGAAACGUGAGUUACAUCAAACUUAAAAUUUGAUUAGCAUAUUGAAUACCACAAUCUGGCGUAGAAGAAAUCCAUUUAAAAGUUUUGUGUGUAUUUUGGUCUAAACAAUUUAAAUUCAAUGCGCAAUCAGACAAUUGGCUAUGUUUUUCGGACGUGGCUCUCCUGACAUGCCGUGACGCCCACUGACAUAUGGCCCCGGGCCCACACGUCAGUGGCUGAACAAAGACUGAAGUCUCAAAAAACAAAAGACUGAAGUCCCAUUCCCUCCUCCCUCCUCUCCCCGAAAAAUUGAAAAGGUUGGCGGCUCUCCCAAAAGUUUGAACCUCGCCUCGCCUUCUGGAACAAUCCGGCUAGGGCUACGGCCACGCUGUCCCUCCCGCGCCUCCAACCUCUUCUGGCAGCGGCGGGGCGCAUGGCUGGCGGCGAAGGGGCCGCCACCACGGGGGCGCCGGCGGAGGCGGAGAUUGGCCUGGACAUCUCGCGCGGGGGCGGGUUGCCCAGCUUCGAGUUCGCGUUCAAUUCAGAGAGUUUCUCUGACAGGGUGCUGCGGCUGGAGGUCGACGGCGUCGCCGGAGGACCCCUCCCCGACUUGGUGUUCCGCCGCGAGGAGCUCCGCCUCUGUUAGAAUUAAUGGGCUAGGCCCAUAGCAAUUUCUGAAAUCUCAAAGCCCAUGUGUAAAAUGGCAAGUGGUGGUGCUAAGUUUAGUCCCACCUUAGAAGUUGAAGAAGAGUUGGACCUCUUUAUAUAGUGGGUUCUCUCCACCACUCUAAGUGGUGUGUGAGAAGAGAAAGGGAAAACCACACGCGCGCGCUCGCUCGCCUCGCCUGGCCGGGCCGGGCCGGGCCGUGGCGUGGCGUGGCGUGGCGAGGCGAGGCGUACAUGCGACAUGCGCGUGAAUGGUCCGCCGAAAUCUGGUCCGUCUCCUUGCAGGAGCGCAGCUUCCUUUUGCCGUUUUAUUUUUAUGUCUUGGCAGACAAGUUUUUGAUUUCUUGUCCGGUAAGUAUACGAAUUAGAAACCGAGUCGGUUUGGGAUUGUGGUCGCGACACAAUACCUCCUCUGGUCCUAAUAUAUAUACAGCUACCGGCUGCGGCCAGAGACACACCGAAAAACACCUAGGGUUUUGCCUCAUCUCACAACUUGCGCCGCCAUCGUAGUCUACUCCAUCCCAAACGCCGGCGUGCAUCGGCGCGUGGGAGAGCAGGUCUCCGGAACCGUUCGUCUUUGCGAUCCUGCACCGGGAGAGGACGAAUUAGGUUUUUGGGAAGCGCUGUGCGCGACUGCUCAAAUUCGUCAUCACGGGUCGUCUUCCGUCCAAGUCGGGCGGUGCUACUCAUCGUCGUAUUCAUCGCCGUCAGCAGCAGAUCGUCGCCAACAUCGUCAUCAACACUGUCGCACCCAUAAUAGCUAACGAUCAGUACGUCCAACAUCCUCUGUUCAUGUCUGUUUCUACAGCUAUUGUUACGUGUUUGCUGCUGUUAUGCAUGUCUUGCUGUUCUUCUAGUUUGCUAGAUUAUUGCAUGCUAGUAUCUCUUCUAGUCAUGAAUUAUUUACUGGAAUUAAUCAUGAACUUGCCUAAUAUUCCAUCAAUCCAAAAACCUAAUUGUAGGCAAUUUCCUGAGUUAACUAUGGCUGGAUUUGCUGAUGCACUGAGGCCGGAUAAGUUUACCGGUGUGCACUUUAAGAGGUGGCAGGUGAAGACCACGCUCUGGCUUACUGCUCUGAAAGUUUUCCACGCUAGUGUUGGUGCUCCAGAGGGAAUAACCGACGAAGAUGGGAGAAAAUUCCAGGAAGCCAAUACUAUGUUUGUGGGAUGCAUUCUGAGUGUUCUUGCUGACCGUCUGUGUGAUGUGUACAUGCACAUAAACGACGGAAAAAUUCUGUGGGAUGCACUGAAUGCAAAAUUCGGUGCAACAGAUGCAGGCAGUGAACUGUACAUCAUGGAGAGUUUUCAUGACUACAAGAUGGUGAAUAACCGUUCUGUGGUUGAACAAGCUCAUGAGAUACAGUGCAUUGUGAAGGAACUUGAACUCCUUAAAUGUGUUCUACCCGACAAAUUCGUGGCUGGGUGCAUGAUUGCAAAGUUGCCUCCUUCAUGGAGGAAUUUCGCCACAACUCUGAAGCAUAAGAGACAGGAGAUAUCAGUUGAAAAUCUGAUUGCAUCUCUUGAUGUUGAAGAAAAAGCUCGGGCUAAAGAUACCACUGAAAAAGGAGGUGAGGUUCAGCCUACUGCUAACAUGGUGCAGAGGUACCCACAGAACAAGAACAAAGGGAAGAACAAACCUAUUUUCAACAAGCCUACCAAGACUACUACUUUCAAGAAGAAGAAGUUCAACAAGGCUGAGCUAGAGUGCUACGCCUGUGGGAAGCCUGGACACUUCUCCAAGGAAUGCCCUGAACGUGCAGACCGCAGAGGGAAAACAAGCUCCAAGACUGUCAACAUGGUGACCGCUAGCAAUACUGAUGGGUAUGGUAAUUUACCUAUUGUGCUUUCAGUAUUUCAAUCAUCUUCGUGGUGGAUUGAUUCGGGUGCUAACGUUCAUGUGUGUGCUGACAUCUCCCUGUUUACUUCUUAUCAGGUCGCAAGGGAUUCUUCCGUCCUAAUGAGGAAUGGGUCACAUGCUUCUGUUCGUGGCAUUGGCACGGUGGAUCUGAAGUUUACUUCGGGAAAGAUCGUGCAACUAAGGAACGUGCAGCAUGUCCCUACUAUGAACAAGAAUCUAGUUAGCGGCUCCCUUCUAUGUCGAGAUGGAUUUAAGGUAGUUUUAGAGUCCAAUAAAGUAAUCGUGUCAAGAUUUGGACAAUUUAUAGGAAAAGGCUAUGAGUGCGGAGGCUUGUUCCGCUUUUCUCUUUCAGAUUUUUGCAAUAAGUCAAUAAACCAAAUUUGUGCUAGUGUUAAUGAUGAUGCAAGUAUUUGGCACUCUCGUUUAUGUCAUAUUAAUUUUGGUUUAAUGUCUCGGCUAUCCAGCAUGAGUUUAAUUCCGAACUUCACAGUUGCCAAAGGUUCUAAGUGCCAUAGUUGUGUGCAAUCUAAGCAACCUCGAAAGCCUCAUAAGGCUGCCGAGGAGAGAAACUUGGCACCUCUAGAACUCAUACAUUCUGAUCUUUGUGAGAUGAAUGGUGUGUUGACAAAAGGUGAAAAGAGAUAUUUCAUGACUUUGAUUGAUGAUGCGACUAGAUUUUGCUAUGUUUAUUUGUUGCAAACUAAAGAUGAAGCAUUAGACUAUUUUAAAAUCUAUAAAGCUGAAGUUGAAAAUCAACUAGAGAGAAAGAUCAAGCGUCUUAGGUCCGAUCGUGGUGGAGAGUAUUUUCCAAAAGUUUUUGAUGAAUUUUGUGAGGAACAUGGUAUUAUUCAUGAGAGGACGCCUCCCUAUUCACCUCAAUCAAAUGGAGUGGCCGAGAGGAAAAACCGCACAUUGACUGACUUGGUGAAUGCCAUGUUAGACACUGCUGGUUUAUCUAAGGCAUGGUGGGGGGAGGCUCUAUUGACUUCAUGUCAUGUCCUGAAUAGAGUUCCCAACAAUAAUAAAGAGAAAACCCCUUAUGAGGAGUGGGUUGGGAGAAAACCAUCACUUUCUUAUUUGCGCACUUGGGGAUGUUUGGCAAAGGUCAAUAUUCCUAUUCCUAAGAAACGCAAACUUGGACCAAAGACAGUGGAUUGUGUCUUUCUAGGGUAUGCUCAACGGAGCAUUGCUUAUAGGUUUUUAGUGGUAAAAUCUGAAGUACCUGAUAUGCAUGUUGAUACUAUAAUGGAAUCUCGUGAUGCAACAUUUUUUGAGAACAUAUUCCCUAUGAAAGAUAUGCAUAGCAUUGCUAGAUUUUCUUCUGAGAUAAUUCCUGAAUCUAGUACAACUGAUGAAUAUUUCGAACAAUCACAUGAGGAAGUCCUUGAGAAGGAUAACAAUGAAGUUCCUAGAAGGAACAAGAGACAAAGGAUUGCAAAAUCCUUUGGUGAUGAUUUCAUUGUAUACCUUGUGGACGACACACCCAAGACGAUUGCAGAAGCAUAUGCAUCUCCGGAUGUAGAUGAUUGGAAAGAAGCUGUUCAUAAUGAGAUGGACUCAAUUCUUUCUAAUGGAACUUGGGAACUAACUGAUAGACCAUAUGGUUGUAAACCUGUGGGCUGUAAGUGGGUGUUCAAAAAGAAGCUGAAGCCUGAUGGUACUAUUGAUAAGUACAAGGCGCGGCUAGUGGCCAAGGGCUACACUCAGAAAGAAGGCGAAGAUUAUUUUGACACCUAUUCACCCGUUGCUAGAAUGACCACCAUUCGAGUGUUACUUUCCUUGGCUGCCUCUUAUGGUCUUAUCAUUCAUCAAAUGGAUGUAAAGACAGCUUUUCUCAAUGGAGAGUUGGAAGAGGAGAUCUAUAUGGAUCAGCCUGACGGGUUUGUGGUAAAGGGUGAAGAGAGAAAGGUGUGCAAGUUGUUAAAAUCUUUGUAUGGUCUGAAACAGGCACCUAAGCAAUGGCAUGAGAAGUUUGAAAGAACUCUGACUUCUGCAGGAUUUGUCAUUAACGAGGCUGAUAGGUGUGUUUACUAUCGCCAUGGUGGGGGCAAUAGUGUCAUAUUAUGUUUGUAUGUGGACGACAUACUGAUCUUUGGUACAAACAUUAAUGCAAUUAAUGAGGUCAAGUCUUUUCUAUCGAAAAGUUUUGACAUGAAAGAUCUGGGAGAAGCCGAUGUAAUUCUAAACAUCAAACUUAUUCAGGAUAAGAGUGGGAUUACAUUAACGCAAUCUCACUAUGUUGAGAAGGUCUUGAACCGAUUCGGUUUUAUGGAUAGCAAGCCUUCUCCAACACCUUAUGAUCCCAGCGUGACACUCAGAAAGAACAAGAAAGAAACGAGAGAUCAAUUAAGAUACUCUCAAAUUGUCGGUUCACUCAUGUACUUAGCUAGCGCUACAAGACCAGAUAUCUCUUUUGCUGUGAGCAAACUGAGUAGGUUCAUGUCCAACCCGGGUGAUGAUCAUUGGCAUGCACUAGAAAGGGUCUUGUGCUAUCUGAGAGGUACUAUGAGUUACGGAAUUACUUAUUCAGGGCAUCCUGCUGUGCUAGAAGGAUAUAGUGAUUCAAAUUGGAUCUCCGAUGUUGAUGUACUUUACGCAACAAGUGGGUAUGUAUUUACUCAUGGUGGUGGCGUAGUGUCAUGGAGGUCUUGCAAGCAAACCAUAUUGACGAGGUCAACUAUGGAAGCAGAAUUAACUGCUUUGGACACAGCUACUGUUGAGGCAGAAUGGCUGCGUGAGCUCUUGAUGGACUUGCCGGUUGUUGAAAAACCUGUACCGGCUAUUCUUAUGAAUUGUGAUAACCAAACGGUUCUCGCUAAAGUGAACAAUUCUAAAGAUAAUGCAAAGUCAUCAAGACACGUGAAAAGACGUUUGAAGUCUGUCAGGAAGUUGAGAAACUCCGGAGUAAUAACUGUUACGUACAUACAAACAGACAAAAACCUGGCAGAUCCCUUUACAAAGGGACUAUCACGAAAUGUGAUAGAUAUUGCAUCGAGGGAGAUGGGUAUGAGACCCAUAGAUGUUACACCAUAGUAGUAACCCAACCUUUGUGAUCGGAGAUCCCGUGAAUUAGGAUCUGGGAAGAACAAGCUAUUGGUUAACUGAGGAGAGUAAUAACUUAUGAUCGUCUCCAAGUGAAGAUGCAAAACUCUCAGAGCUGUAAGGCUCAGAUCUGUAAGGCAGGUUGGCAACAUGCCUUAAUGUGGUUCUAUUGGCUAUAAUUAGCAAAGAUGCUGUCCUACAGAGCAGUCUUGAAAGAACACACCUAUAUGAGUUGUGACUGUAAACGUCGCAGUCUAUGAGAUUUGGGUGAUCUCUAGUAAGCUCACGAAGAGACCAGGGAGUAUGACGUAUAAGCUCCAAACCGCGGGGUAGCCUACUGGCGGUCAGGUACUGGUUAAGACUUUGAGUGAAACCUGUUCACACAAAACUAGCAAUUCAAGGCAUAGUCCAUUGUCAAGUUGUGAAUGGAUGUAGCUUAAAGUUCUAGGCAGAAGUUCAACUUAACAGUCUCUGCUGAAACACUGGUAUAUUAAACAAGUGGUGAGAGAAGGCAAAUCUCUAAAUGGGUAUUUGAGAUCUGGUGGGGGAUUGUUAGAAUUAAUGGGCUAGGCCCAUAGCAAUUUCUGAAAUCUCAAAGCCCAUGUGUAAAAUGGCAAGUGGUGGUGCUAAGUUUAGUCCCACCUUGGAAGUUGAAGAAGAGUUGGACCUCUUUAUAUAGUGGGUUCUCUCCACCACUCUAAGUGGUGUGUGAGAAGAGAAAGGGAAAACCACACGCGCGCGCUCGCUCGCCUCGCCUCGCCUGGCCGGGCCGGGCCGUGGCGUGGCGUGGCGAGGCGAGGCGGCGCGUACAUGCGACAUGCGCGUGAAUGGUCCGCCGAAAUCCGGUCCGUCUCCUUGCAGGAGCGCAGCUUCCUUUUGCCGUUUUAUUUUUAUGUCUUGGCAGACAAGUUUUUGAUUUCUUGUCCGGUAAGUAUACGAAUUAGAAACCGAGUCGGUUUGGGAUUGUGGUCGCGACACAAUACCGCCUCUGGUCCUAAUAUAUAUACAGCUACCGGCUGCGGCCAGAGACACACCGAAAAACACCUAGGGUUUUGCCUCAUCUCACAACUUGCGCCGCCAUCGUAGUCUACUCCAUCCCAAACGCCGGCGUGCAUCGGCGCGUGGGAGAGCAGGUCUCCGGAACCGUUCGUCUUUGCGAUCCUGCACCGGGAGAGGACGAAUUAGGUUUUUGGGAAGCGCUGUGCGCGACUGCUCAAAUUCGUCAUCACGGGUCGUCUUCCGUCCAAGUCGGGCGGUGCUACUCAUCGUCGUAUUCAUCGCCGUCAGCAGCAGAUCGUCGCCAACAUCGUCAUCAACACUGUCGCACCCAUAAUAGCUAACGAUCAGUACGUCCAACAUCCUCUGUUCAUGUCUGUUUCUACAGCUAUUGUUACGUGUUUGCUGCUGUUAUGCAUGUCUUGCUGUUCUUCUAGUUUGCUAGAUUAUUGCAUGCUAGUAGCUCUUCUAGUCAUGAAUUAUUUACUGGAAUUAAUCAUGAACUUGUCUAAUAUUCCAACAGCCUCCACAAGGAGGAAGCAGGUCCGUACCAUGCCUCACUCCUCCCACGCCCUUGGAAUUGGAUUGAUGGAUGCAGCUGCUGGUGAUUCUCUGCUGUUCAGCGCGAUUCGGCUAUGGGUCCGUGUGGAAUCUGUGGCUUAUUUGUGAUUCCUGCUGUUUCUUCACUUCACUUGGCUUGCCUUUCAUUAGGGGUGAACAAUUAUAGCAAGCCUCACCUGUUGCUGUGUGAAUUUGAGAGUUAUUUGUCUGACUAUGGAGGUUUUCUAGUCUGGAUUAAUAUCAAAUCUGUUCAAAUGAAGCAAUCAACAAAUUGUGCAUCGUCUAUACAUCCAACUAGGAUGCAGAAAAUUCUUAGUCACAUAUUUAGGUGGAGCAGCAAUGAUGUUCAAAGUUCUAACAAUAUCAAAGUUAAAACAAAUAUUGAAUCAUUGAAAUUGACAAUGCUGUCCUUUCGUGGAUUGAUUAACUUGUAAUCUUCUUCCUUGUCAAGUUUGUGUUUGUCACAAAGCGUUUGUUUGCUGGAAAUAAAUUGCACACAUAGAAUGUUCAUGAUGUUUUGUUAAUCACUUCACCAUAUUUCUGAAGGUUGAAUCAACAAAUAUGCACACAUAGAAGAACAGAGCGUUCCUAUUACCUUAACAGCAGAAUCUGUCAAUUUGAAUGUUCAUGAUGUUUUGUUAAUCACUUUACCAUAUUUCUGAAGGUUGAAUCAACGAAUAUGCACACAUAGAAGAACAGAGCGUUCCUAUUACCUUAACAGCAGAAUCUGUCUAGUGGUUGUGUUGUAUGCCUAUUAUCUCAUUUCCCCCAGUUUGGCCUUUAUUUCUCUCUGAUCUUUGUAUUCUUUGUGUGAUGAACAGAUGGAAAAAGUAUUGACUCUUCUUGGACCAUGGUGUCUGCGCCAGUUUUACGAGUAAAGACCAUUUACAUCAAUUCGGUUGUUCUCGCUGCAAAUAGUCCAUUCUUUCUUAAGGUAAUUUUCGUAACCUUUUGAGAUUCAUUUCUUCUAUGGUCAGUACAUGUUUCCUAAUAUGCUUUAUUCACCUUAGAUUUUCUCAAAUGGCAUGAAAGAGUCUGAUCAGAGGCAUAUAACACUCCGAAUUGCUGAUUCAGGUAAACUGAUAACAUCCAUCCCUUUAUAGUUUGUCCUGGUUUUCUGUUGUGACUGUGUUAUUAUACUGUAGUAUGUAGAGUGUACACACUAUGUUUUUUUAGGAUAAAAUGUUGAUUAUUUAUGGUAUUAUAGGGAUUCUGUCUCUGAGUUUUUUUUUUGAAGAAAAGGGAUUCCCCCCCACCACAUGUUAUUAGAAAGAAGCAUUCUGUCUCUGAGUUUCUGUCAGCCAUUCCUUUUUCUUUUUCAUAAUGAAAUGGUUAAGUCUCUUUUCAGUUUUCAUCAUCGCCUUUAACUACCAAAUGUAUAUCCACGCUUAGUCUUCUGCAUGGAUAGCUUUCCUGAAUAUAGGAGGUCUACUGUUGUAAUUUACGCACAAAGAAUCUGCCAUUUAGUUCUUUAUUGAACUGUUAUCAUAAACCCUUUUAGAGGAAAGGCAUACGCCCGACUUUAUAAAUAAAGCCAUAAGGCAGGUAGCAACAGCAUCACCGAAAAGUAACAAACACACCCAAGCCCCAACGCUGGGCAAGACGACGAAGGAUAAAGUCAGGUACAUGGCUCCCACGCCAGUACACGGCACGCAGGCCGGAAAAGAAAGAACCAACUAAAGCUAAAGCAUCUGGCCCAAAAGAAGCAAUCAAGCAUCCUGCUCUUGUCUGCAUAACUGAGACGCCGCCAUCCGGAUUUUGUAGAUCAGCAUAGAGAGCGCCUCUUGGUCGUCGACCUUAGUCAAUGAUUUCCACUGCUGCAGGAAAGCACACGAUUUAAAUAAGCAGUCAGCCGGUUUAGCCGGAAACAUGUGCUCGAUAGUAAAUUUGUUCCUAGUAGUCCACAGAGACCAGCAUAAAGCCCCCAAGCCCACCCAAAAGAUGCGUCUAGAUACACCGGAGAGGUUGGAAGCCAAGCUGCGCAACUCGGCAAAGGAGGCAGGGGCCCAAGACACAUGAAGCCAGUCCCGCACACAACUCCAAAUAAGCUUAGCCAGGUGACAGUGAAAAAAGAUAUGAUCCGAGUCUUCCACAUCACCGCAAAGAGCACAGAACUGGGAGACCGGCCCAUUUCUCUUACGAAUCUGAUCAGCCGAGGGCAACCGGCCUCGAAAGGCUUGCCACAAGAAAAUUUUAAUCUUAGGGGGAAUACGGGCCUUCCAAACUUGGGAAAAAUGAUUGGUAGGCGUGCCACCAACGAGCUUAGAAAGAAGCAUUGAUUCAUGAUGGAAGUAUUAAGAAUUCCUAACCCCCCAAGGUUUUUGGGCCUGCACACCAAUUUCCAUUUGACGAAGCGAUAUUUGCGACGAUUGUCUGCAGCAUUCCAGUAAAACGCCCCACGGUGUUUGUCAAAACCAGCAUGAAUCCCAGCCGACAAGAGAAAGAAGCCCAUAAGGAACAUGGGGAGGGAGGAGAGGCAAGCAUUAAUUAGAGCCACUUUACCAGCAUUCGUAUUAUAUCUACCCCGCCAGGGAAGGACCCUGUUUCCCAGCUUAGUGAUUACCGGGGCAAAAUCUUUGGCAUGGAGCACAUCCGGGGAAAUAGGCAAACCCAAGUACUUGAACGGAUAGGAGCCCUGCUUACAGUUAAGAAGGUGGGCCACUCGCGCGGCUUCCAAUUCGUCCACACCAGUCACAACUACUUCGCUCUUGGCAAAGUUAAUCUUAAGCCCCGACAUAGCCUCAAAGCAUAGUAAAAUAAAUUUGAGGUGGGCAAGGCAGGCCUCAUUCAACUCGACCAGAAUAAUAGUGUCGUCCGCAUAUUGGAGAUGGGUGAGACCAUGGGGAAUGAGAUUAGAACACACCGGAGUAAUGUGCCCACUAGUGGCUGCCCUAGAGAGUAGGCGAGAUAAAGCAGCUGCAACAAAAUUGAAUAAAAUGGGAGAGGCAGGAUCGCCUUGCCUCAGGCCCCUACCGUUGGCAAAGAAUUUGCUAACCUGACCAUUAACAUUGAUGGCAGUGUGGCCUCCCGAGACCAACUGCAGAAUCCUAUGGACGAGGGGCCCCUCGAACCCUUUGGCCAAUAAAACUCUACGAAGAAAAUGCCAACUCACCGAGUCAUAGGCCUUCUCAAAGUCUAAUUUUAGAAUCACCGCUUUCGACUUGCGAAUCUUAAGGUCAUGAACGAUUUCAUGCAAACAGAGAACCCCGUCCAGAAUGAAACGACCCUUAAUGAAAGCCGACUGAAAAGGGCUAAUGGUACGGUGGGCAAUGGGGGAGAGACGGGUGGCUAACCCUUUAGCCGGAAACUUGGCGAAGUUAUUAAUAAGGGCAAUCGGCCUAAAUUGCGAGAUCAAAUACGCGCCCUUGACUUUAGGAAUAAGGGUAAUGACAGCGUAAUUAAGGCGAGAGAUGUCCACCGUAUCCAACCAGAACCCUUGGAUGAUCGUACAAAUGAGAGGCCGCAACUGCGGCCAGAAUUUUUGAAGAAGGGGAUCGAAAAACCAUCAGGGCCGGAAGCAGCAUUCGGGUUAGCCGAGCUAAUCACCUGCCAAAUCUCUUCAUCAGAUAAGGGGACCAUUAGGCCCGAAUUUUCGCCCGGAGAGAUCUUAGACCCCUCAUCCUAGAAGUCAGGGCAAAGGCCAAGCCCAGGGUCCGGCUUAGAGCCGAGUAGAUUGGAAUAGAAGCUAACAAUGUGAUUCAUAAUGAGGGACUGGUCAGAAAUUCUAACGCCGUCAAUCAACAGAGUGUCAAUGAAACAUCUGCGGCGUCUGCCAUUCGCGAUCGCAAAAAAAUAAGCCGUCAUAGCAUCCCCUUUCAAGGUCCAGUUAAGGGCACCUCGUUGGCGCCAGUAAAUUUCUGACUGUUGGUGAAGCAACACCAAAGCGUCUUCCAGGGAGUAGUGAGUAGCCCACUGAGAGGCGGAGAGCCCAGAUGUGUCAGCAGAUUGGUCCAAAUCCCGGAUUUGAGAUUCGAGGGAUUCCUUGUCUCUACGCAACUCGGCCGCCCUAUUCCGAGACCACCCCCUUAAGAAUUUACGCAACUCAUAAGACACCUUGUGCCAAUCAUCCAUGGGACCAAAGGAGCGAUGAGGAGAAGAAAGAAGAUUAGUAAUCUUAGAAACCAUCAUGUCACAAAAGCCCUCAACAACAAGCCAAGAAGCAUCAAACUAGAAACGGGAGGGAGAAACAAGAGAAAGGAUACCAGCAUCCAGGAUCAGGGGAACAUGAUCAGAGCCCACCGCAGGCUUAGCCUUAAGCAGCGCGCGGGGAAACAGCGAGUCCCACUGAACAGAAACAAAAACCCUGUCCAGCACCGACCGGACAGGCGAGGAUUGAUGGUUAGACCAGUUGAAACGCGCCCCCACCCUAGGGAGCUCACGCAGCGCGCAGUUACUAAUGAAAUCAUUAAAAGCAUUGGCAAGAGGCCAGGAGAAAUUAGGAUUAUUCUUGUCGGCCGAAGAACGUAACAAAUUGAAAUCACCCCCAAUUAGAAGAGGAAUAUUACAUGCUUCAAUCUUAAUCGAUAGUUCGUCCAAAAAGAGAGGAGCAAGCGUGUGAUCCGCAGGGCCAUAUACCACCAUAAAUUCCCACAAAGUGUUCAGCUAAAGAUGAUGAACCACACAGCUAGCCCAAAAGAUGCCAUGAUCAAAAGCAAUGAAAUCAAAAACGUCCCGCUUGGACCCAAUCAAGAUUCCCCCGGAAUGACCCGAGGCGGGGAGAAAGUGCCAAUCAAACCUAUCCAUCCCAGCUAUCGCAGAGAGUUCAGAAGGGGAAAAGGAUUCCUUAAACGUUUCGACCAGCCCUAAAAUGUCAAUAUGUUCACCACAAACCAAGUCAUGAAUCUGGUCACGGUGCCCCCUAGCACCGAAACCACGAAUAUUCCAGAAUAAAGCUCUCAUCUGAAGGAAAGGUUUUUAAUACGGAGACUCGAUUUGCACGGAGCCCCACAAGGCUUAGAUCGCUUGGGACGCCCAACCUUAGCAAGGGCCGGGGGGCCAGACGACUGGCCACAACCAUUUGUCGCCUCCAACCCCCCUGGCUUGGCCCUAAGCACCAGCAGGACCAGCACCUUUCGCGGCCUCAACUGCCUUACCAAUGGCAGCCUGGGCUGCCUCAUUGGCCCUAAUGACAGAAAGAAGGUGAGAGGGGGAGCCCAUCCCCGGUAUAGUAGCCACCCCAAUAUCAGACAUGAUAUGCAACAAAUGAUCAUCUGACAGAGCUGGUAAAACAAGGCGAACAGGAGAGGCAGGAAGAGAUGGUUGGGCAGACGAACCUGAAGGAGGGAGAUCCCUGGCCGCGGCACGCCGUUCCGCCCGCACCGCCACCGAAACGCCAGAGUCGCGCACGCCGGCCCUUCCGCGCCGUGGACGCCGGAGAAUGCAGCACAGGGGAGCACCGGAUCGGCGACGCCGGCCCAGGGCCAGACCCCGAGGCGGAACCUAGAUCCUUGUCCAGACGACGAGCCAGACCCGCCGCCGAAAGCUUGGAAGUGGAGGAGGCCCGACUCUUAGCCGAGAAUUCCCGGACCGAAGACUUCUUCUUCUUCUUAGUUGAGGGCUUGGUGAGCGCAAGGGGGAAGCGGGAAGAUCCUCGAUCCCAGAGAAGGAAGGAGACUGCGGGCGAGUAGGCACAUUGGAGCAAACACCAGAGAAGGGGGUCCCCUUACCAACACCAGCGUCACGAGAAGCCAAGUCCUCCUUCUGAGGAUUAGGAGCAGGGGCAUUAUCCUUGAGCAGCUUGCGUUCAUCCGGGUCCAACUUAUCCCAUUCAGAUUGUGUAAAACGCGGAUCAGUACCUCCACUUGGGUUAUGCCCCCCAGCCGAACCAUCCCCCUGCGUGUCAUCUUGGUCCGAAGGCUUGGAAGGAGGAGGCGGAGGUGGAGGUGGAGCACGGGGUUCAGCACCCUCCACCCGAACCCGAAGUCACACACCCUCAGGAGAAGGGAAGACAUCCACGGAACCAUGAACGCAGACGGGGUCGAUGCACCAAACAUUGAGACGAACCGGGCCAACCUUGCCCAGGGAUUCCGAAUCCACUUCCACAGGCUUUCCAAUGAGCUUACCAAACGCCAUCAUGAACUCCAUAGAUCGAAGCCCAACUGGCACGUCGUCAACUAGCACCCAGAUCUUGCUAAGAGGGCCCACCGCCUUGGCACCACAAGUAGCCGCUUUGACAGAUACCACAAGCUGGUUGAGGGGGAGGGUAAAACUGGUGCACGAGGAGAUCAUCCAUAGACAGUCCUUGGAGGGGAAAACCACUGCGGAUUCAUACUCUGAAAGCUGGCGCACCUGCCAAUCCCAGCCACCAUCGUCCCAUAUUUUCAAACCAUCCAGGAGGGUCUGCGGAGAGAUCAGCUGACCGCACACCGUGAUGAUGGCCGCGUUAGAGAGGGACGGCGCAGCCAUCACCACAGGAACAUCAGCAUCCAGAGCGAAGAAAGAACAUCCGGGAAUACCCAGGCCAAACUGAAUGAAAGAGGGGUUCUUGGUACGGUUACGGCAGUCGACAGUAAGAUGGCCAUCAGAGCGACAGAUGAGGCAGAAGGGUGGGUUAGUGCAUCUAGAUUGGAAGUGGUUCGGGCGGUGGCAAGCAAAGCAAGUCAGGGUCGGUGAAGGGCCCGAGGAAGCAGGGUGCUGGCGAGGAGGGGGAGGCGGCGGCGGCAGGAUGGCAUCGCCACGGACCGCAGAAGGGGCACCCGAAGCAGAGGGAGGGGGGCGCCGAUCCCCGGCCUGCGAGGAGGAAGAGCCAGGCCCGAAGCGCGGCUCCGAGCGAGAGGCAGCGCCCGCCGCAAACGAGCGAGGAGGGGGCCGGGGCGGAGGGACCGGGCCCCUGGCCGGAGCGGGCGCGGCGCCGACGAGGAGGAACCACCGCCAGCCGAAGCAGCAGCGGCCUCCCACGGAUCCAGCCCAGAACCACCGCCAGCCGAAGCAGCACCCGGGGCAGCUGGUUGUGGCCACUGCUCCGCGUCCGUCCCCUUCCCGGGCCUGCGGUCCCGUUCCGGCCCAUUCGGCCCUCUGUGGCCUGGCCUGUUGUGGCUAUUUAUGGGUGCGUCGCGGCGCUUCCCCCCCUUCCUAGGGUUUCCUGCUUCCGCCGCCGAUAUCGGCAGGGUGCGUCGCCCUAUCCGCCAGUUUUCCAGAUCCGCUCCCUCCCCACCCCCUCUACUCCUCUCCUUCGCUGAGGUGACCGCCAUGGACAAGUCUCGGGGUUCCUCCUCCGAGGCCUUUCGGGUAGCAAGCGGGCCCGUGAAGCUUCGCCGGGCGAUGGCGUCGAUCUGGCCUAUGAGGCGGAGCUGCGUUCCAAGCUCGAAUCUGAGCGGGCGGAGCGCGUGCUGCCGUGUGAGCGGGAGGAUUGGGAGGCGGGGCCGGAGCGCUCCGUUAUCAUAAACCCUUAUGCCUCGAUUGUUUCAUUCUACUAGGAACGGAGGAAACUGUCAUGAUGGAGAUUUUGAGCUUUAUGUACACUGGAAAGUUGACAACAACUGAGCCCAAUCUUCUGCUCGACAUCUUGAUGGCCGCUGAUAAAUUUGAGGUUCUUGCUUGCAUGAGGCAUUGUAACCAGUUACUCACAAACUUGCCUAUGACCAGAGAGUCUGCGUUGCUCUACCUAGAUUACCCAUGCUCCACUUCAGUGGCUGCUGAAAUUCGGCAUCUGACAGAUGCUGCCAAGGAAUUCCUUGCCAGCAAAUACAAGGUUUUUGCCAAGUGAGUGACCACCAUCUGAUGGAGCUACCUUUUUUACUUUCCGAGAAAGCAUUAGACAUCUUCCUCAAAAAAGAAAAAAGUGUAGACAUUUUUUUUCACAAAAUCAUGCAUGGAGUGUUACUCAUGGCAUGACUUGUCUGUUCCAGCUUCUCUGAUGAAUUGAUGGACAUGCCUCUUGUUGGGAUUGAAGCCAUCUUUUCUGGUACUGACCUACAGAUAAGAUCUGAAGAUACCGUAUAUAGCUUUCUGCUUGAGUGGGCGUGCAAGCAAUACCCAGAAACAGAGGAAAGGCACAAGAUAUGGAGCUCUCGUUUACUUCCGCUGGUGCGCUUCAGUCAUAUGACUUGGAGUAAACUUCAUGAAGUGCUGACAUGCAGUGAUGAUGAUGUAGACAGUGAGCAAACAAAGAAGCUUAUCAUCGAUGUUCUCUUGCACAAAGCUUACCCAGCACAUGAGCAAGGCACUACUGAUGCAGACACAAGAACCUGCUGGCAAGUCCCACAGCGAGCUUACAGGCUUAAACCAAUCAAAGUCGUUGAAUUCGACCAGCCCUGCCCACAGGCCAUUGUUUACUUGGAUCUAACACACGAGGAGUGCUCCCGACUGUUCCCAACCGGGAAAAGACACACUUGUUCCAUCUUGCUGGACAGGAUUUCUUUCUCAUAGCGUUUUGUCAAAUGCAUGAGCAGAGUAAGGCAUACAGCUUUGGCCUCUGUGUAGAAAAGAUUGAGAUGCCAAAGGGCCCAACAUGUUUGACAGUAGAUUUUGAGUUAGCUGCAAGGACAAGAUCGUCGGGGAAAUUCGUUACCAGGUUCCAGGACAAGCAUACAGGCGAUGAUUGGAUGCUGGGAUGCGCUGAUCUUUUUGAGGUUCCAUGGUCGACGUUCAUUACCAACGACAACCUCUUCAUCGAUGGCGUGCUGCAUCUGAGAGCUGACUUGAGGGUGGGGGUGGUGGCGCAGCCGGGACUAGAGACUUGAUGAUAUCUCACUCAGCAAAGUUAGGUUGAUAGCUUCAGUGUCAUUUCAGAGAGUUUUAUUGGUUGGCUGGGCACAAUGUGGAGUUCUUUUUGGUAGUUCUUGCUUGUGCUGUUUCGUUUCGUCGUUUUGUUAUGUCUGCUGGAGAAGGAGGCUUGGUGCCUGAAUGAUGUAAGGGUGCUCUUACAGUGAGAAGGCUGGAUAGCCCGCGUGGUAGACAUGCACUAUUGGUCUGACUAGCAUAUCUCUUCCGUUCUUUUUGUUCUAUAUAGAUAGAUAGAUUCGGCAUCAUCAGCUUGGGCCUUGGUCUCAGACAAGGAAGCAUGCCAGGGUAGCCAAUUGAGAUUUUAGGUAGGGCAGCAUACUGAGAUUGUGCAAAGAUAUAUGUUUUUGUAUGUAAUGUACCGAUGAAUACGGUUGGAUAAAUCGAAUAAUAAUCCUCAUUCAUGCAGCAUAUAUGUUUCCUCGGCUUGUGCAUCUAGAUAGAUAGAAUGUAUGCGGCUUCCUCGGCUUGUGCCCAGUAGCCGAAUCCUGAAGUUGCAGGUGUUGUGUUCCCUCCCUUGUGAUGGCACGACACUCUGAAUAAACCAGAUCGACUCGGGUCAGUUGCUACUGCAAGUUUGUGACAUUAUUUUGGCGACACAUUUUUUCCCCAACCGGGCAUUACCCCCUUUCCAUUAAUUUGCAAUAACGGAAAUAUAGCUGUUCAUACAACAAAAGGAAGAGGGAAAGACCGAAAGAGGGAUUCGAGCUGGAGCAGCAACAGGAAACCCGCUGCAAUUGAUUCGACAUCGAAACCGACCAACCGACUGCUACGGGGCAAAAACCUGUUGGCACUGACAGUAACACUCUGGCCUAACAAACAAGAAUCAGCCAAUACAGGUGGCUAGCAGCACACUGAACAUCCAACAUCCAACAUCCAAAACGAACCCAACAUCUACACAGCACAAAGGAAGCAGCCCAGCAAUUUUUAUGCUUCCCAAACUUCAUUCAUCACUCAUCAGCGUCUGCACUCCUUCACUGAAAGCAUCAGCAUCUCUGUCAGCUUCUUUCAGUCACCCUGUCCAAUACAACAGAAACGCACAGAUUGUAAAGAUCACCUAUAUAUAGGUGAUCUCAUCACGUGUUUGUCAAAUGUCAAAGGUAACCCUGUCGCCAACAUUCCAAAUCCCCCAACACACCGCCGCAAGCCCGCAAUGCCUCAAGUACCGGGAAUUCUACCAGUACAACCCCAAGUAGAUCAACACUACAGGAGAAGAACAUGUGCUCAGCAGUUUCUAUGUUAUUGCAGAAAGAACACAGAUGAUUCCCAGUUCAAUUUUUUUCCUCAAAUUGUCUCUGGUUGAGAUAGAGUUUUAUCCCAAACCCACCUUUAUCUCUUGCUCUACAUGUUUUCGCUCAACCAACCAUAUGAUACUUGCUUCUAUUUACACCCUCCUGCCAGGAAAAUCUUCUCCCGGGCUUAUCAAGCUUCUCAAUAGCAGUUGAGGGACAUAGGGGUUCCUCCUCCGAGGCCCUUUCGGGUAGCAAGCGGGCCCGUGAAGCUUCGCCGGGCAGUGGUGUCGAUCUGGCCUAUGAGGCGGAGCUGCGGUCGAAGCUCGAAUCUGAGCGGGCGGAGCGCGAGCUAUCGCGCGAGCGGGAGGAUUGGGAGGCGGGGCCGGAGCGCUCCGUGGCCAGAUCUGGGACGGCGCUCCCUGGAUCUGGUGGUGCGUCGGGGUCGGGGCUGGAUCUGUGGGAGGCCGCUGCUGCUUCGGCGGGUGGUGGCUCCUCUUCGUCGGCGCCGCGCCCCGCUCCGGCUAGGGGUCCGGUCCCUCCGCCUCGGCCACCCCCUCGCUCGUUUGUGGCUGGUGCUGCCUCUCACUCGGGGCCACGCUUCGGGCCUGGCUCUUCCUCUUCAUAGGCUGGGGAUCGGCGUCCUCCUCCUUCUGCUUCGGGUGCCUCUUCUGUGGUCCGUGGUGAUGGCAUCCUGCCGCCGCCUCCGCCUCCCCCUCCCCGCCAGCAUCCUGUUCCCUCGGGACCUUCUCCGACCCUGACUUGCUUUGCCUGCCACCGCCCGAACCACUUCCAAUCUAGAUGCACUAACCCACCCUUCUGCCUCAUUUGUCGCUCCGAUGGCCAUCUUACUGUGGACUGCCGUAACCGUACCAAGAGCCCCUCCUUCAUACAGUUUGGCUUGGGUUUACCUGGAUGCUCGUUCUUCGCUUUGGAUGCUGAUGUUCCUGUGGUGAUGGCUGCGCCGUCCCUCUCUAACGCGGCCAUCAUCACGGUGUGUGGUCAGAAGAUCUCUCCGCAGACCCUCCUGGAGGGUUUGAAAAUAUGGGACGACGGUGGCUGGGACUGGCAGGUGCGCCAGCUUUCAGAGUAUGAAUUUGCAGUGGUUUUCCCCUCCAAGGAUUGUCUAAGGAUGAUCUCCUCGUGCACCAGUUUUACUCUCCCCCUGAACCAGCUUGUGGUGUCUGUCAAAGCGGCUACUUGUGGUGCGAAGGUGGUGGGCCCUCUCAGCAAGAUUUGGGUGCUAGUUGACAACGUGCCAGUUGGGCUUCGAUCUGUGGAGUUCAUGAUGGCUUUUGGUAAGCUCAUUGGCAAGCCUGUGGAAGUGGAUUCGGAAUCUCUGGGCAAGGUUGGCCCGGUUCGUCUCAAUGUUUGGUGUAUCGACCCCGUCUGUGUUCAUGGUUUCGUUGGUGUUUUCCCAUCUCCCGAGGGUGUGCGACUUCGGGUUCGGGUGGAGGGUGUUAAACCCCGUGUUCCACCUCCGCCUCCUCCUUCCAAGCCUUCUGACCAAGAUGACAUGCAUGGGGAUGGUUCGGCUGGGGGGCAUAACCCAAGUGGAGGUACUGAUCCGCGCUUUACUCAGUCUGAAUGGGAUAAGUUGGAUCCGGAUGAACGUGAGCUGCUCAAGGAUAAUGCACCUGCUCCUAACCCUCAGAAGGAGGGCCUGGCUUCCCGUGACGCUGCUGUUGGUAAGGGGACCCCCUUCUCUGGUGUAUGCUCCAAUGUUCCUACUCGCCCGCAGUCUUCGUCCUUAUCUGGGAUCGAGGACCUUCCCGCUUCCCCCCUGCGUUCCAUCGAGCUCUCAACUAAGAAGAAGAAGAAGAAGUCGUCGGUCCGGAAAUUCUCGGCUAAGAGUCGGGCCUCUCCUACCUCCAAGCUUUCGGCGGCGGGUCUGGCUCGUCGUCUGGACAAGGAUCUGGGCUCUGCCUCGGGGUCUGGCCCCGGGCCGGCGUCGCCGGUCCGCUGCUCCCCUGUGCUGCGAUCUCCGGCGUCCACGGCGCGGAAGGGCCGGCGCGUGCGCGAUUCUGGCGUUUCGGUGGCGGUGCGGACGGAACGGCGUGCCGCGGCCAGGGAUCUCCCUCCUGCAGGUUUGUCUGCCCAACCAUCUCUCCCUGCCUCUCCUGUUCGCCUUGUUUUACCUGCAUUAUCAGAUGAUCAUUUGUUGCAUAUCAUGUCUGAUAUUGGGGUGGCUGCUAAAACGGGGAUGGGCUCUCCCUCUCACCUUCUUUCUGUCAUUAGGGCCAAUGAGGCAGCCCAGACUGCUAUUGCUAAGGCCUUGGAGGCCGCGAAUGUUGCUGGCCCUGCUGGUGCUCAGGGCCAGUCCGGGGGGAUUGAGGCGACAAAUGGGUGUGGCCAGUCGUCUGCUCCCCCUGCCCUUGUUAAGCCCGGUCGUUCCAAGCGCUCUAAGCCUUGUGUGGCCCCGUGCAGAUCGAGUCUUCGUAUUAAAAACCUUUCCUUCAAAUGAAAGCUCUCUUCUGGAAUAUUCGGGGUUUCGGUGCUAGGGGGCGCCGUGACCAGAUUCAUGACUUGGUUUGUGGUGAACAUAUUGACAUUUUAGGAUUGGUCGAAACGUUUAAGGAAUCCUUUUCCCCUUCUGAACUCUCUGCGCUAGCUGGGAUGGAUAGGUUUGAUUGGCACUUUCUCCCUGCUUCGGGUCAUUCUGGGGGUAUCUUGAUUGGGUCCAAGCAGGACGUGUUUGAUUUCAUUGCUUUUGAUCAUGGCAUCUUUUGGGCUAGCUGUGUGGUUCAUCAUUGUCAGCUGAACAUUUUGUGGGAAUUUAUGGUGGUAUACGGCCCCGCGGAUCACACACUUGCUCCUCUUUUCUUGGAUGAACUUUCGAUUAAGAUUGAAACCUGUAAUAUUCCUCUUUUAAUUGGGAGUGAUUUCAAUUUGUUACGUUCUCCGGCUGACAAGAACAGUCCUAAUUUCUCUUGGCCUCUUGCCAAUGCUUUUAAUGAUUUAAUUAGUAAUUGCACGCUUCGUGAGCUCCCUAGGGUGGGGGCGCGGUUCACUUGGUCUAACCAUCAUUCCUCACCUGUCCGGUCGGUGCUGGAUAGGGUGUUUGUGUCUGAUCGGUGGGAUUCGCUGUUCCCCCGCGCGCUGCUUAAGGCCAGGCCUGCGGUGGGCUCUGACCAUGUUCCCCUGGUCCUGGAUGCGGGUAUCCUUUCCUUCGUUUCUCCCUCCCGUUUCCAGUUUGAUGCUUCUUGGCUUGUUGUUGAGGGUUUUUGUGAGAUGAUGGGUUCUAAGAUCUCCAAUCUUCUUUCUUCUCCUCAUCGCUCCUUUGGUCCCAUGGAUGAUUGGCACAAGCUGUCUUAUGAGCUUCGUAAAUUCUUGAGGGGGUGGUCUCGGAAUAGGGCGGCUGAGCUUCGUAGAGACAAAGACUCCCUUGAAUCUCAAAUCCGGGAUUUGGAUCAAGUUGCUGACACAUCUGGGCUCUCCGCCUCUCAGUGGGCUACUCGGUACUCCCUGGAAGACGCUUUGUUGCUGCUUCACCAACAGUCAGAAAUUUACUGGCGCCAACGAGGUGCCCUCAAUUGGACCUUGAAGGGUGAUGCUAUGACGGCAUAUUUCUUUGCGGUCGCGAAUGGCAGACGCCGCAGAUGUUUCAUUGACACUCUGUUGAUUGACAGCGUCAGAAUUUCGGACCAGUCCCUCAUCAUGAAUCACAUUGUUAGCUUCUAUUCCAAUCUACUCGGCUCUAAGCCGGAUCCUGGGCUUGACCUCUGCUCUGGAUUCUGGGAUGAGGGUUCUAAAAUUUCUCCGGGCGAAAAUUUGGGCAUGAUGGUCCCCUUAUCUGACGAAGAGAUCUGGCAGGUGAUUAGCUCGGCUAACCCGAAUGCUGCUUCUGGCCCUGAUGGUUUUUCUAUCCCCUUCUUUAAAAAAAAUUGGCCGCAGUUGCAGGUUCUCAUUUGUAAAAUUAUCCAAGGGUUCUGGUUGGGUACGGUGGAUAUCUCUCGCCUUAACUACGCUGUCAUUACCCUUAUUCCUAAAGUCAAGGGCGCGGACUUGAUCUCACAAUUUAGUCCGAUUGCCCUUAUUAAUAACUUCGCCAAGUUUCCGGCCAAAGGGUUAGCCACUCGCCUCUCCCCCAUUGCCCACCGUACCAUCGGCCCUUUUCAGUCGGCUUUCAUUAAGGGUCGUUUCAUUCUGGACGGGAUUCUUUGCUUGCAUGAAAUCGUUCACGACCUUAAGAUUCGCAAGUCGAACGCGGUGAUUCCUAGACUUUGAGAAGGCCUAUGAUUCGGUGAGUUGGCCUUUUUUACGUAGAGUUUUAUUGGCCAAAGGGUUUGAGAGGCCCCUUGUCGAUAGAAUUAUGCAGUUGGUCUCGCGAGGCCACACUGCCAUCAAUGUUAAUGGUCAGGUUAGCAAAUUCUUUGCCAAUGGUAGGGGCCUGCGGCAAGGCGACCCUGCCUCUCCCAUUUUAUUCAAUUUCAUUGCGGAUGCUUUAUCUCGCCUGCUCUCCAGGGCUGCUACUUGCGGGCAUUACUCCGGUUAGUUCUAAUCUUAUUUCCCAUGGUCUGACCCACCUCCAAUACGCGGACGACACUAUUAUUAUGGUUGAGCUGAAUGAGGCCUGCCUUACCCACCUAAAUUUUAUUUUAUUAUGCUUUGAGGCGAUGUCGGGGCUUAAGAUUAACUUCGCCAAAAGCGAAGUGGGUGUUACUGGUGUGGACGAGUCGGAAGCCGUGCGAGUGGCCCACCUUCUCAACUGUAAUCUGGGCUCCUUUCCGUUCAAAUACUUGGGUUUGCCUAUUUCCCCGGACGUGCUUCAUGCCAAAGAUUUUGCCCCGGUGGUCACAAAGGUGGGCAACAGGGUCCUUCCCUGGUGGGGUAGAUAUAAUACGAAUGCGGGUAAAGUGGCUCUAAUUAAUGCUUGCCUCUCCUCCCUCCCCAUGUCCCUGAUGGGCUUUUAUCUCUUGUCGGCUGGGAUUCAUGCUGGUUUUGAUAAACACCGUGGGGCGUUUUACUGGAAUGCGGCGGACAAUCGUCGCAAAUAUCACUUUGUUAAAUGGAAAUUGAUGUGUAGGCCCAAAAACCUUGGGGAGUUAGGGAUUCUUAGCACUUCCAUCAUGAAUCAGUGCUUGAUGAUUAAAUGGUGGUGGAAGAUUAUGAGCGCUGAGGAUCAGCCCCUCUGGCUGUCGAUCCUUAAGGCUAAAUAUUUUCCGUCCUCUAGCCUGAUGUUUGCUCUGCCGCGUGGUGGUUCUCAGUUUUGGAAGUCUCUGGUCAAAGUUAGACCUGUUUUUCAAUCUUUCGUUAAGUUUGUUGUUGGGGACGGAUCCUCGAUUAGGUUUUGGCUAGAUUGGUGGUAUGGAGAAUCACCUCUCUCGGUGACCUUCCCUACCCUUUUCUCUUAUUGUUCUGAUCCAAAUAUUUCUAUUGCGAAGCUAGCUUCCCAGGGGUGGAACCUGGCCUUUCGCCGCUCCUUGUCGCCUGUAGAGUUUGAAGAUUGGCAACGUCUUACUGCCCUCUUCCCUAUGCUCUUGACGGUCAGGGAUUCGGUGCUUUGGCCGCUGUCUGCCUCUGGACGCUUUUCUGUUAAAUCUCUUUAUUCUAAGCUUGUUGGUGGCACGCCUAUCAAUCGUUUCUCCCAAAUUUGGAAGGCUCGUAUUCCCCCUGAGAUUAAAAUUUCUUGUGGCAAGCUUUCCAAGGCCGGUUGCCCUCGGCUGAUCAAAUUCGUAAGAGAAAUGGACCGGGCUCCCAGUUUUGUGCCCUGUGCGGUGAUGUGGAAGACAUGGAACAUAUUUUUUUCACUGUCACCUGGCUAAGCUCAUUUGGAGUUGCGUGCGGGACUGGCUACGUGUUUCUUGGGCCCCUGCCUCCUUUGCCGAGUUGCGCAACUUGGCAUCCAACCUUUCCGGCAUAUCCAGGCGCAUCUUUUGGGUGGGCUUGGGUGCUUUAUGCUGGUCCCUAUGGACAACUAGGAACAAAUUUACUAUCGAGCACGUGUUUCCGGCUAAACCGGCUGACUGCUUAUUUAAAUCGUGUGCUUUCCUGCAGCAGUGGAAAUCAUUGACUAAGGUCGACGACCAAGAGGCGCUCUCUAUGCUGCUCCAAAAUCCGGGCGACGGCGUCUCAGUUAUGCAGACAAGAGCAGGAUGCUUAAUUGCUUCUUUUGGGCCGGAUGCUUUAGUUUUAGCUGGAUCUUUCUAUUCCGGCCUGCGUGCCGUGUACUGGCGAGGGUGCCAUGUACUUGACUUUCUCCCCUGUCGUCUCGCCCGUCGUUGGGGCUUGGGUGUUCUUGAUACUUUUUUGUGGUGUUGUUGCUACCUUCCUGCCUUUUGGCUUUAUUUAUAAAGUCGGGCGUAUGCCUUUUCUCUAAAACAUGUAAUACGAUGGAAUGCCAAACAAAGUAGAGUUAAUCAGAUUCAACCUCCCACCGGAGGAAGCUGUACGUAUUACCAAUCCAACCAUCCAACCGCUUAAUCAUGUUAGCUAGAACAAAGUCCCGGUCAAUGGUUUUUAAGAAUCAAAAGCUAACAGGAACACCCAAGUACUUCAUGGGCAAGGAGGUGAGGCUAGUUGAUACCCAAACAUAUCAGCAUAAAAGGCAGCAAUUUUAUUAUCGCCUCCAACCAUAAAAAUCUUACUUUUCAUGACGUUAAUUUUAAGGCCGGACAUAAGUUCAAAAAUGUAUAGCAGAAGUUUCAUAUUCAGAGCUUAAGCAGGGUCAUGGCUAAGACACAACACAGUGUUGUCAACAUGAUGUAAUAUAGCCACAUCUUGUUCAAUAAGAUCAGGGGGCAAGCAAACAAAUAAUACAUUGCUCUGAGCCUUUUAAACUAUUUUGAUAAGGCAUUCAACAACCAUAUUAAACAAAAAUGAGAGGGGGGUCACCCUGCCUCGCCCCCUCGCUUGAAAACUAGGGGCCUGCCACAUCAUUAAUUUCCACACUAACUGUCCCAUUAUCUAAGAUUUGGUGAAUCCACUUAUACUGCUGAAACCUCUAAUUGUAUGACAUUCGAGGAGAAACUCCUAAUUAAUCUUGUCGUAUGCUUUUUCGAAGUCAAGCUUAAGGAAAACCCCUUGUUUGUUUCUUAACAUGGGUUACAUGACCCCUUCAGCAAAACUAGUCGAGUUUCCUUCUGCUUGUAAAUACAUGUUCUCUUAACAAUUAUAAGCAUCUUUGCUUUCAAGAAAGAUUAUCAUUUCACAAUCUCUCUUUAUCCGGUGUUAUAAGGUAUAAACACACUUUUCAAGAUUUAUAUUUGACAAGGCCAUGCCCCAAUUGCAAGUUCUUUGCUUGGAUGGUCCUGCAUGGUAGGGUCCUCAUGGAGGAAAACUUGGCGAUAAGAGGAUGGCCGCACGACCCCGUCUGCCACCUAUGUUUGGGGCUCUCGAGACAGGUUGACAUCUUUGUCGGGACUGACCCUUCUCGCAGAUGGUUUGGAAAACGAUUAACGUUGCCGACGGAGAUGCCCACUCCGAGCCCCCUGGCCCUGACAACUCUAUCAACCGGUGGUGGGAUGACUUUUCCGCAACCAACUCAAGAGAGGAAGGCGUUGGUAGGUAGCAACAACUUGAUUUACUCGCUCUGAAACAUUUGGAAAGAGCAAAAUCAUAGGGUUCUCACUAGAAGGAGGAUGACAUAUCGCCAUAGUUUAAAACACGGACUGCCAAUCAAACCGAUGAGGCUACCGAUUUAGGUUUUUGCUGGUCAGGCCACUGGUUCAACUGGUUCAAUAGUGACAAGAAACCAGAAUAUUUAAAUUAUUUUUCUAAAAAAUGGACCUUUGAGAGAAUGAAUAAACUUAUUAUUGGUUGUAAUCCAUUAUGAAAACACAAAUUGUAGAUGGCCUAGUUGGUAUUGGGCCGUUGGGCAUGUGGUGGCCAAGGUCAAAAGAUCCUAGUUUACACAUGGUUUUAUUGAUUUCCCUAAAAAAACAUGAUUUUAUUGAUAUUUUGUUGUUGUUUUUUGCUGAAAGACUGACAUACAUUAAAACCGGACGAGACCUUGGUUCCUGUUUUUUCCAGUCGGACCACCAGUCCGUCCGGUUUAUAAAACUAUGUGUAUCAUGAGGUGGCUCACCUAGCCCUCGAGGAUAUCCGCAUGCAUAAAUCUAGCCACUUGCCUUUGCGCCAGUAGUCCACAUGUAGUACUGUAAGGGUUCUUUCGGUUUUGCCUCAUCUCGAAAAGGCUAGUGUAAAUAUUUGUAACACCUUUCAUUCUUCUUCUAUUCUACAUGAAAGGCGGUGCUCCUGCCGAUUUUUUUGAAAAAAAAAGUUUUACAUAUUAUUUACACGGUAUAAACAUAAUAAUGUUGAUUUGUAUGAAAAAGGUAUUCUGUGAUGACUUUUGUAUAAUUGACAAAAAAUUGAUUGGUCAAAAUUAAAAUUUGGGAAAGGUGUGCUUGUAAUUUAGCCACAUCAUAAGGUCCUCUUGACAAUUCUUUAGGCUCCAAAAGAAAAAGCUUCGCGGGUUUUGUAUUCGACCUCGCCCUCGCCUUCUCGAAGAAGCCUCCACGAGCUAGGUAGGGUUUACCGCCACUGCCCCACGCGACCUUCCUUUUCUUGACACCACAGCCCCACGCGACCUUCCUUUGUGUGUGUUAAAACGUUUAAGGUCAUUAUUGGCCUGCUUGAUAACCACUUUUGUUUCUUAUCUGGCGGCACCUUGCGGCGUGUAGCCGGCAUCAUCUGUCUGGCUCCAGCGUGGGUUGUCACUGCAUGCUCCAGCGGCAUAUUGCAGAUCUGAGCGUCCUUGCUGCAGGUCUUUGUGCCGUGGGCCAGUUCCUUGGGUUGGCGCCGUGGUCCCAUGCUGAUCUUGAUGUGCGGAAAGACUCAGGCUCCGAUCUGUUGAGACCCAAGCUUAGACUUGUAAAAACUUUCCUUCUAUCAACGCAUUGAGACCCAAGCUUUGCGUUUUUUCGAAAAAAGCAACCACUUCUGUUUAAGUAGUACAAAUACCUGUUGCAUAGAGAUAAAUUUGGCGCUGACACAAUAUGUGGUUACAUGGCUGAUCUUUUUAUUAGGGAUUAGUGAUUGCGGCAUCGGUGAAACAAUAGAGCGCUGUUAUAAGUUUUGCUCCUGAGAUCUUAUCGUGAAAAUAUAACCAAAUGAAAUUUGUGCCGGACUAAAUCAGUAUCAAGUUUAUUCAGAGAAAACACCUAACAUGGUAUGUAUUCGUGUCCAUACGUCUGACUGAUGCAACAAAUAUUUUGAUUCAGCAGUGGUCUUCAAACAAUAUCAAUCCACUUGAUUCUGCAAGAGUAGAAUAAAAUCAAUCCAUUGCAACUGGGACCAGCCUCUGGACAAUGGAGGCACGCAACCAGGUGACUCAGAAAAUAUGGAAGCAUGCUAUUCCAGCUGACACCUAAAGUUCUACUACUUGUUGUCCUUUGUGGAAUUGUAGGUCUUAAAAUGAAUUGUAGGUUUUGAAAUUCUAAUCUUCAUUUUGCAAUUCUUGGUCAAGUUUGUCCUGGAGCCUUGUAAAAGGCAUUGCCUAAGUUAGGCUUUUGACAAAUAAUUAUCUGAUGAAGUUCCAGUAGGAUCCUUGAGAUAACUUCUAUGAUCACUUUGCUCACUGAGCUGCAAGCAUGCCUAGAUUGUUGGCCACAGCUAAAUGACCCUUCAGUUUUGGUGAUAUUAUUUUAACCAUUUACAAUUGAUUAAAUGAAUAUGUACCAUUGAACAGAGUGUUCCACACUUAUCUUGGUAUGUUGCUGCUGAUAAAUGAUAAUGGACAGAGUAUUGACUUUUCCUCAACCAUGGCAGGUACACCAAUUUUAACUGUAAAGGCCCUUCAUAUCAAUUCAGCGAUUCUUGCUGCAAGAAGUCCUUUCUUUCUAAAGGUAUUUUCUGUAACCAUGUGAAAUGCAUGUUGUACAGUCAUUUCAAGUUUCUAAUAAGUUUCAUGUUUCUUAGCUUUUCUCGAAUGGCAUGAAAGAAUCUGAUGAUCAGACCCAUCCAAGAAUUAGGAUUGCUAAUUCAGGUAAUGUGAUAGCUUAACUGUAACAUUCCUCCUCAUAUUUUAUUCUAAUUUGCUAUUGUGGUUGUGUUAUACUAUAUUAUUUUUAAUAAAAGCAUGCUUAUUAUGGUAUGUAUUGCAUGUACCAUGCACCAUCUUAAUAUCCCUGACGCAUGUCGUCUCCUUUAGUCAUCGAUGUGGGCAAUUUGUGGAUUAACUGACUCUCUCUUAAUUUGGGAUUAACUCUCUUAAGUCUCUUUUUGAUAGUCAAUUAUGAGGUAAUUUUAAGGUCAAAAGUAAUUUAUGAGCCAUUAGGAACAAUUGUAUGAAAUGGCUGAGAUCGUUUGGAUUCUGCCAACUCGUAAGUUCUCUAUAGUAGUAUAGAUAUAAAAUUUUCCGUGAUUGGAAAAGGGUUAAUCUCCCAUGGAGCUUUUCUCAAUACUGUAAGUCAAUAAUCAAAUUAAACAAUUAUUUUGGGUACAAAGAGAUUGUCCUUCUUUUGUUAACUUCUUUAUUGAACUGUUCUCUUAUGGUUUUUCUGUUUUCAUUUUACUUGGAACAGGAAAAUGCCCUUAUGGAACUUUUAAGCUAUAUGUACAGUGGAAAGUUGACAACAACUGAGCCCACUCUUUUGCUGGAUAUCUUGAUGGCUGCAGACAAGUUUGGGGUUAUCUCUUGCAUGAGGCGUUGCGGUCAGCUGCUCACAAGCUUGCCUAUGACAACAGAAUCUGCACUGCUCUACAUAGACCACCCUUGCUCGACUUUAAUGGUCGCUGAGGUCCAGCAUGUGAUUGGUGUUGCCAAGGAAUUCCUUGCAAACAAGUACAAGGAUUUUGAUAAGUUAGUGAUCCCCAUUUCAUGGAGCCAUACUUUGUUUCAUUUUUUAAGAAAACUGUAGACAUUGAUGUCGCAAAAUCAUGCAUUUAGUGUACUUAUGACAUGGUUUCUCUCAUUUCAGGUUCAGACGUGAACUGAUGAAUAUUUCUCUUGCUGGGAUCGAAGCCAUCUUUUCAAGUAGUGACAUACUUGUGAACUGUGAAGAUAUCUUAUUUUGUUUCAUGCUCGAGUGGGCCCGUGCGCGAUACCUAGAAUUGGAGGAAAGACGCAAUAUAUACGCUUCAGUCAUAUGACAUGCACGGCACUUCAGAAGAUCCUAGCAUGCAUUGAUGAUGAUAUAGAUCAUGAGCAAGUAAUUAAGCGUAUUACUGAGGUACUUCUACACAAAGCUUACCCAGAACAGAUGGAAGGUGCUGUUGCAGCAGACGUAACUCAAUUUCCUGAGCGAGCUUACCAUUUCAAACCUGUGAAAUUGGUUGCUUUUGAUCGACCUGCCCACAUGUUAUAGUAUACUUGGAUCUAACACGCCAGGAGUGCUCCCGAUUCUUCCCAUCUGAAGAUAUAUGCUCGCAAGUCUUCCGGCUUGCAGGGCGGGACUUCCUUCUCAUGGCAAGCUGUGAGAUGGAUGAGCAGAGUAAGUCGUACAGCUUUGGCCUCUGGUUAGGAGUCAAGAAUGUGAAGGGCUCAACAUGUUUGGCCGUAGAUUAUGAGUUUGCUGCAAGAACAAGAUCGUCGGGAAAUUUUGUCAGCAAGUUGAAGGAAAAGGCUACCUUCACCGGUGAUUGGAUGGCGGUGGGGCGUGAAGAUAUUUUUGGUGCUCCAUGGUCGACGUUCAUUGCCGAUGACAAUCUCUUCAUCGAGGACGUUCUGCAUCUGAGAGCUGAUUUGGCUGUGCCACAGCAGCCUGAAUUACAUCACUGAUGAUGUGUGACUCGGUGGAGUUAGGUCAUGUGUGCAGUAUCAGUCCCUUGAAUGCGUUCAGCUGUAAUCGGGGAUUUUGUUGGUUGACUGGGCACGUUGGCAGCGGGUGAGUUUUUGGUAGUUCACGCUUGUGCCUGUGGUCUAAUUUCGUUAUUUCAGCGUGUGUGCUGGAAACGCUUUGGCGCCUGAAGAAGGAUGUAAGGAGAUGAUGGAGGCUCUUAGGAUAAUGGAAGUUGAAAACUGGGGUGGUGGAUCCUUAAUUUUGAUCUUCCUUUCUCUUCUUGUUAAAUAUACUGGGGCCGUGUAUCCUUUUGUUCAAGUUCUCACCCACCUGCCACCCUCACAGCUGGGUGGGUGUUUGAAACAAGUGAUGUUGAACAUCUGAACUUACCAAAAAGGUAUGAUACUUGCAUGGAAACAAGAAAGGUAAGGACUCCGGGUUACCUGACUGCUUGUGCGAAGUUGGGUUACCUGAUCCUUGGUUAUGAAAAAGCUCAGCCAAAAAGAUUGCAAAAAUCAUUGAGAGUGUUUCAAAGUAUUCUCAUGCCCCUUAUCUCUACUCUAAUUUUAGUUAUUUUGGUGCCUGUGCUGGAAAGGAGGCUUGGUGCCUGAAUGAUGCAAGGAUGCUCUUACUUUUGAUCUGACUUGCACUCCCCCCCCGCGUGCGGUGUCAGAGUGCUUAUAGGUACUCCCUCCGUUCCACAAUUUAGUGCCUAUAGAAUUUCUAGAAAGUCAAACUUUGAGUAAUCCUAUAAAGAUGAGACAGAUUUUCAUACUGUAUUAUACUACUCCCUCCGUUCCUAAAUAUUUGUCUUUUUAGAGAUUUUAAAUGGACUACCACAUACGGAUGUAUAUAGACAUAUUUUAGAGUGUAGAUCCAUUUAUUUUGCUCCGUAUGUAGUCACUUGUUGAAAUAUUUAGAAAGACAAAUAUUUAGGAACAGAGGGAGUAUAUGUUUGGUAUUAUAGGUAUAGAUAACUUUCUCUCUAAAUCUGGUCAAAGAUUGAAAUUUUUGACAUUCUGAAAAAUCUUAUGGAACGGAGGGAGUACAUUUUUCUGACUUACAAUGAGAAAGCUGGCCAUGGAAACCUAGUGCGAUUUAAGGUAGAGCAGCUUUCUGGGAUUGUGCAUGUAUAUACUCCCUCCGUUCCUAAAUAUAAGUCCUUUUAAAGAUUUCAAUAUGGACUACAUAUGGAUGAAUAUAGACAUACUUUAGAGUGUAGAUUCACUCAUUUUGCUCCGUAUGUACUAGUUCAUAUUAGAAUCUCUAAAAAGACUUACAUUUAGCAACGGAAGGGGUGCUAUGUUUCCGUAUGGUGACGAUGAGUAGUUUGUCUGUCUGAACAAGCUGGUAAGUUUUGACGGGUCUGCAUGGACCUGUGCCUGAUUUCCAUUCGAAGGGUGACAGACAGACAGACAGACAGAGAUUUGUUUGGAUAAGUGGACUGGUAAUCGCCAUUCAUACAGCAAUAUACUCUCCCUGUAAAGAAAUAUAAGACUUUUUAGAUCACUGCAUAUUUCUUUACAGAGGGAGUGUGUCUGAACUUUGAACAAUGGGCGGCUUUAUUUCCUCGGCCUGAGCAGUACAGUCAGAUUCAGACAGAGUCUCCAAUCCUUAGAAGCAACGGGCAGAAGGCGUGGUGCCCGUCCGGGAACACACGCAGGAGGAGGCCGGAGCACCUGUUGUUGCAUGUUGACGGGCGGCCUUGUACAGAAAUUGCUGGAUCUGUGCGUCCUGCCUGAAGCUGUAGGUGUUGGUUUUGUUGGCUCGUGGUGGGAUUUCUUUCAGACAGAGAGCCUCCGUCCACCACUCUCGGAACCUGAGCAUGAGCACGAGCAGACCAACGAGCUUCUCGGCGAUGGCCCGUCCCAUCAUCGACGGGCAUCGCCGAUGGUGUGCUGCGGUUGCAUCGGAGAUCAUCAUCCGACGGGUGUGGAGCAGUUGGCGUUACAGUCUUGAUGAUCGCCGCUUCAAUGGGGUUCCGGUUUGUGUCUGGGGUCCUUUUGAUGUCCUGAAACUGCAGGUGUUGAUGUCCUGAAAUUUUCGUUCCAUUUUUUAUUCACAAAAACUUGUUGAAACUUUCCCAGGUUGAAUAUAAGGUUAGUGUGGAUUUUUGAGAAUUUUUUCAAAAAAUUCUGGGCACUUCUAUUCUUUUGGCAGAUGGCUGACAUGGUGGCUGACUGGAUUGUUGACCAGUCAAAACCCAGUCUAGAGUUGUUUUUUGUGCCUUUUUUAGUUCAAGAUUGUACUAAAAUAGACGGUUUCGUAGUUUAAGGUUUGUAUAUUAGACUUUGAUGGUAGUUUAAGGUUCUAAUAUGAAUUUCUUUCUUGUCCUAGCUAACUUGCAGGGGAUUUGUUUACUCAUUCAUGCAUAGAAUGCUUUUCUUUUCGUUUGUGAGGAGUGAAGUUUGACCGUCGAUGAUGGUGACUUGGAGGUUGUGGCAAUGGCCGAGUCGGGUUCAGUUGCAUAGUUAGGAUCUUGGCACGCCCAGCCUUAUUGCUACAAUGAGCAUCUGCCCAGCCUGUCUAGCGCUCUCGAUUGAAGAUGCAUCCAAUGGCCAGAAAUGCCCAAAACUGUAGAUCCGAUGGUCAAAAUAUUGAUGACCCGAGGGGGCUCGAUUAAUGCUUCAGUUUUAAUGUCUUUAAAUGUUAACAGUGAUGAAUAUUUCUCACAUUGCCUACAGUCAACCAAUCAACUUGUAGCCAUUAGGUGAGAAAGCAAUGGGCCAGAUUUUGGUCAUAAGUUGGACUGUACUAUUUUGCAGACACAACCUUGUACUUUAUCAAAAUCAACCCACACUUUACAUCUCACACUCCCAAGAAUAAACCUCCAUGUUUAAUUUUCUAUGCCAAACACAAAAAGGGCAAUGUAUUUUGAACCAAAUGUCCAAUUUCAUAUCAGUUUGGACGGUCAUCUUUGUCUUGACGAAAAUUUUGAAACAAGAUCAAUGUUGAAUAUGUUUCUGAUUUUUUUCUGCCUUUAUAUAAUGGGGAUAUACCGAAAAGGGACUAUACACAUCUAACAAUUAUCUCUUGCAUGAGGCGUUGCAGUCAGCUGCUCACAAGCUUGCGUAUGACAACAGAAUCUGCACUGCUCUACAUAGACCAUCCUUGCUCGGUUUCAAUGGCUGCUGAGGUCCAGCAUGUGAUAGCUUUUGCCAAGGAAUUCCUUGCUAACAAGUACAAGGAUUUUAAUAAGUUAGUGAUCCCCAUCUAAUGGCACCAUGCUUUGUUUCCUUUUGUGAGAAAACUGUAGACAUUGAUGUCGCAAAAUCAUGCAUUCAGUGUACUUAUGACAUUGUUUGUCUCAUUUCAGGUUCAAAAGUGAGUUGAUGAACAUUUCUCUUUCUGGGAUUGAAGCCAUCUUUUCAAGUACUGACAUACAUAUCAAAUGUGAAAAUGACUUAUAUUACUUUAUGCUGGAGUGGGCCCGUACAAGAUACCUAGAUUCAGAGGAAAGACGUGAGAUCUUGAGUUCUCGUUUACUUCCACUGGUUCGCUUUAGUCAUAUGACACGUGCAGCGUUUGUGGAGAUCCUUACAUGCACUGAUAAUGAUAUAGAGCAUGAGCAAGUAACUAAGCGAAUUACUGAGGUACUUCUAGACAAAGCUUACCCAAGACAGAUGGAAGGUGCUCUUACUACACAAACCUGUCAGCAAUUUGCUGAGCGAGCUUACAAGUGCAAACCUGUGAAAUUGGUUGUUUUUUAUCGACCCCGCCCACAGGUUACAGUUUACCUGGAUCUAACGCGCGAGGAGUGCUCUCGAAUCUUCCCGUCUAAACAUAUAAACUCGCACUGCUUCUGGCUUGCAGGCUGGCGCUUUUAUCUCAAGGCAUCAUGUGAAAUGAAUGAGCAGAGGAAGUUGUGCACUUUUGGCCUCUGGGUAGGAGUCCGUGAGAAUCCGAAGGGCUCAACAGAUUUGACCGUAGAUAUUGAGCUUGCUGCAAGGGUUGGAUCGUCAGGAAAAUUUGUAAGCGAGUUGGAAGAUACGUUUACCUUCAAUUCGUCAGAUCGGUUAUAUGGAUGCAAUGAUCUUUUUGACAUGCCAUGGUCGAUGUUCAUUGCUGACGACGACGUCUUCAUCGACGGUGUGCUGCAUCUGAGAGCUGAUUUGGGGGUGGCGGUGGGGCGGCCGGAAUUACAGUCUUGGCGAUAUCUCACUCAGCAAACUUAAGUAGAUCGGCUCGAUGUAAUUUCAGUUGGUGUGGCAUGUUGGCAGCAUGGUUCAAUGCUAUUUUUGUCUCUGAAACUUUAGGUGGCAUGUUGGCAGUGUGGUUCAGUCGCGGCCGCAUUUCGUUAAUUAUGCGUCCGUGUUGGAAAACAAACUAGGCUUGCCUGAAUGAGAUGUAAGGAGGCUCUCACUUGCAAUGGGAAAGUCAAAAACUGUGGCGAGAUGUAAGCACAUCUGAUCUGACUUUUUUCUAACCUGCUCAAAAUGUCAGGGUCCAUCUUUUUUUGUUUCAGGUUCAGCGGAACCUUCUUUCUAUACAUGCGUGAUUUUUCAGCCUGUUUUUGUUUGUUCUCGAUUAGAUUCGCCAAUCGCCAUCACCAGCUCGGUUGUUUGACGACGAAGCUGAUUGUAGCAAUAGUAUUGGCCAGAGCGUGAGAUGCAGCAAUAGUAUUGGCCAGAGAAGCUUCCUGGGAUUGUGCACUGAUAUGUUUCUCUAUGUCCUGA